AUUAAUAACCUGUGUUCUUAUAUGAAUUCACUCGAAAGCACAAAUUAGUCAUUAACCACAAUCAUAAUCUUUUAAGUAAUUUUGUUAUCAUUAAAACCAUUUGAGAGAGAUUUUGUCUCAAUAGUUAUUGGAUAGUAUUAGUUAAUUUUGAUUAAAAUCAUUAAUAUUUUCUCUAUUUUAUUAGUAAUAUUUUUAUAUUGAAUCGUGUAUUUAUUCAUUUUUUUAUUUUAUUGAUUGUAGCUGAAGAUUAAAAGCUAAUUUGUUGUUGAAGAUGGAAACUUGGCAAUUUAGUGAACUCAAUUUCUUAAAGUUUUUUUAGAUUAUUAUGUAUGACAUAAUAUGUCUAUUUUAAACGUUAAUAAGACAAUGUUUUCGACUACUAAGUAAAAAUACUCUACAGUGCACUAUGGUUAACAUUGUUUAACUAUUGUUUUCUCAUUGUAAGACUUUUAUGUUAAUUUUUAAUAAAUACGAUGAACAUCUUUUUAAUUAUGGUGACUCUUCUCUAUAUAUAUAUAUAUAUAUUUAUUUAUUAUAAGCUCACUUUUUUAACGCUAAAGGUAAUAGACUAGUGCAGCAAUACACAAGUUUAUUUCUUAUUUAUUUUUAUAUCAAUAAUUAUAUAUAUAUAUANNNNNNNNNNNNNNNNNNNNNNNNNNNNNNNUAUAACAAAUUCAAUAUUAUUAGUAUUAAUAAUUUAAUUAAAUCAAUAAGGUGAACACAUAGGGAAACAAUGGAGGAAUUAACGCACACAUCAAACACACCGAAAAUAGUAGUUGUGCAUCAUUAUAUCAUUAAAAUAUAAUAAUAAGAAAUUGGGGUAUUACAAUACUUGUUUGUAGAAGGUAGUGAAUACUUUAUGUGACUCAUCUUUGUGCUUUAGGAACUUUAACUCUGUCCAUCUAGAAUAACGAGUCCAUACUUUUUACUACUAACAGAGGUUGUCUUUACAGGGCCAAAUAGAUCGACAUGUAAAAGUUCAAGUGAUCAAGAUGUGGAAACAACGUUUUUGGAACAAUUUUUUUUUCCCUUUCUAAUAUGCCUCACAAAGAACAUUUAUUUUGUACUUAAGAUUAGGCCUUGAGUAAUUCAAAACUUUUUAAUUUUGAGAUUAACCUCAAGUUGGAAUUUCUAAUAUGUUGUGCAAUAUCAGUUGUUCGCCGGUUACAGACAUAAGACACUUGACUUGUUAUUUGUUUAACUCACAUAAAUUUAUUUUGUAAAUUUUUCUUUUCCUUUGGCUAAUAAAUAGUAUAGAUCCAUAUGUUUGACUUAUUUCCAUACAUGACUUUUGAUUGAAGACUACGUCAUAACCAUUGUCGCUUAAUUCACUUAUGCUAAGUAAAUUACGCAUUAGUCUUUUUACAAAUAAAAUAUUAUCAAUAGAGGGAAGAGAACCAUUAUCUUACCCUUCUGGUCACCUCCAAAUCCUACAAAUCCUCUGUUCUUGAGUGUCAGGUCUUGCAACAUGGAUUUUUCUUUCGUCGUGUGUCAUGAGCAUCCACUGUAAAGGUACCAUGACUAUUGUUUCAACUUUUUUGCUAACGAUAUAUGCGAGAUAGAUUAUUUUAUUUUUAGGUACCCAAAUUUGGUUGGGUCUUGGUUUGGUAGUUUUUAAAGGUAUUUUGUCUUUUCAUGUUUUCAGCAUAUGAAAAGUUAAACUGUUAUGACAUUUCUUAUAGUAGUAUGUACAAACAAUAUCAGGUUAAUUAAAUCUAGGUUUUUAUGUUUGUUCUUCAAGCCUAUGUUGUGUUUAUUGUUUCUGUUGACACCCUAGAUCAUAGAAGCUUGGUUACUUCUAUCUAUGCCUUUAGCUAGAAAUUCUUGAAAGGAUAUUUCAUACUUAAGAGAAUUCCAGACAUUACCCUUUGAUGUUUCUAAAACCUUUUCGUUUAGAUUUAGAUUUUUCCUUUUUAGGUUUUCAAAAUCAUUUUCAAGAGAACUGCAUUUGUAUGUUAAGAUGUCAUGAGCUUUUCAGAGAGACUUAAAUUUUGAAGAAACUUUAUGAUUUUUUUUGAGAAACUCAUUUAGCAUAUUUAUUAAUUCACUACGAGAUAAUUCAGAGAAUACCUUAAUUUCUUCAUCAGCAACUUCAGAGUCCAAGUCAGAGUUAAAGUCAUUGUUUGCCAUUAGAGCCAUGUUUGCAUGCUCGUAAUCUUCAUCACAUGAUUAAUCAGAGUCAUCCCAAGUUGCAAUAAAACCUUUCUUCUUUGUUUUGAAGUUUUUCCUGUGAGAUUUUCCUUUAUCAAGUUUAGGACAUUAUGAUGUAAAAUGACAUGGUCCCUUAUAGUCAUAGAAGAUGAGCUUUAUUUUGUCUAUCUUUUCACUUCCUUCUCUGCUAUUUUGGGAUCGUCUAAACUCUCUUUUGGAAAAUGAUUUAUUUAGGUUGUUUCACAUGCGUUGGAUUUUUCUUAAAAUAACAGACAACUCUUCAUCAUUUAAAUAUUCACUCUGAUUUUCCAUUCACUUUUCUAUGAGUCUUCAAUUGCUUGCAUAGCCUUAGAACCUGUCUUCUUUCCUUGAGAUUUGACAGCCAGGGAUUUUGACUUCUUCUUGGGCGCAUCUUCAACUAGUUCAAUCUCAUGGAAUUUGAGUGAACUCGUUAGCUUUUCUAGAGGCAGUUUGUUUAGAUAAUCGGCUUCUUGAAUAGCUAUCACCUUUGGUCUCCACUUACUGGAAAAACUUUAGAGGAUAUUUUUGACGUGGUCGACAGUAGUGUAGAUAUCCUUGAGAACCUUUAGUCCGGAAAUCGAAGUUUGGAAUCUAGAAAACAUUUUUUUGAAUGUCUUCAUCUGAAAGAGUUCAUAAUUUUUUGAAUAGUAGGUUAAAUUUGGCUUCCUAUACUUGCUUGUUUCCUUUGUAGUUAAGAACCAGAGCAUCAAAAGUGACAACAUUCAUCAUGAAGGUUUUAGCUUUAUGAUGCAUUAUGUAUUGUUUCUUUUGGUCAAUGUUAAAGUUAUUUCUGGAUAUUUCAAUACCAACAACAUCUUUUGGAGCUUUAUUGCCAUCUUUAACUUUGUCCUAUAGUUUAGGAUCGUCAGAUAUGUAGAAACGUAUGAGUAUGUCUUUUCAGUACUCAAAUAUCGCUCCAUCAAACAAAGGAGGCCUAUUAAUGUUUCCACGUGUAACUUCUUCACCACAGUUAGCCAUAGGGAAUAGGAAUCUUUACUCAAACACGGUUAAGUGUUCAAUUUGAGACCGAGCUCUGAUGCCAAUGGUAGAACAAAUAAAAACACAAGAAAAAAGGGGUUAGAAUUGUAUUUCAAAAAACUUUUUCGUGUGGCUAUACUAAAUUAAAGAAAGUAGUGCAGGUGAACAAAAAUAAAGCAGAGAGACUCAAUGAUUUUUCCUGGUACACCACUAACAUAGUAGCUACAUCCAGUCCCUUCGACUUGAAGAAUUUAAUCCACUAGUUUACCACGAAAUCAUAUUUACACUUGAACACCUACUAGAUACACUAAUUAUGUUCAAUCUUCUAAACUUUCUAGCUUUGUACGUUCAAGUUGUUGAGGAGGACAACCACUACUUGACUAUGUUACAACAAAAAGACUUUUUGAUUUUUUUUGAAUUAGCUCUUGUAGAAAGUGUUUAUAGAUUUGUUACUUCAGAUUGUCUUAGUACUAGUGUGAAAUAGAGUGAUAUUGAUCAAUAGUGCAAAUGUGCUUGUUGUUUCUUUGUUAUUGAUGUGUGUUCCUUUAGGGAUGCACGUCCUUUUAUAGAGAACGAUUAGGGUUCUGGUCGUUGUCCUAAAUGCAAGAAAUCACCAUAAUUAAUGAAGCUUCACGUCGUAUCUUUUGUGAAAUUGAUUUUCCAGAGACUAUUUCCAAAAAUUGAUCUUGUAAUGAGUUAGUGUAUCUUGUUUAAAAAUGUUGGGAAGCAGAUGAUACGAUGGUAAAAGCAUGUAGUACGAUCUUCAAUUUAUCAGCAGAUUCAAGAUGUUCAUUGGAGGAUGUGCAUUUAUUUGUCUUCCUUGGGGCAUUGAUUUUUUUCAGAGCAUUGACUUUUUUAAAGUAUACGUAAUUAAAGGUAGAGGCACUCACUUGUUUUUCAUGUUUAUCAGAGGCAAAAGAGCAAAAUCCAUGUUACAUUCACCAUAGGAAAUUUAACUACUACAUUUCUUUGCAUUUCCUGAGGCGAUUGGGGCGCAACAUUGUUCGAGUAACAUGCUUAGAGAAACGAAGCAAGGAGAAUUUGUGUUGUAUCUUUGUUAUCGUUCAGUUAUUAGAGGAUACAAUGAGAGUCUAUUAAAUAAACAUUGGAUCUCGAACCUCUGCAUUUAAGCAUAAUGUUAGAGCAUUAAAUUGUUCCCACAAACGAUUUUGUUAUCAUCAAAACAAGUGAGGGACAUAUUUCUUCAAACAACUUGGUUCCAAAAAAUUAUCCAUUGUUAUGAGUGACUUUCUAUGUGAAGGCCCUAGUGGCUAGUUAUAUUUGGAUCAUAACGUUUUAGGAGAAUGCAUAACUUGCAUACUUUUUUAUUUUUACUUUAACCUAGUUAUUGGGUUUUAGGUUGGUUGCUGCAUGAUUUAAUUAAGCACAUUUUACGACUUAGUAAAAAUUUAAUUUUGAUACACUUUUGUGAAUUAUUCUAAAAUUGAUUUCUUUUAAUCAUUUAUAACAAAAAGAUUUUAUAUUUAUAUUUAUAUUUAUAUAUUAUAAUUGUUAAUUUAUUAUUUAGUAUAAUUUUUUCGGUGGAAUGAACUCACUCACCCCUCACAACAAUAUUUUAAAUACUAAUGAUCAUGAAUAGAUGCAAAGCUGAAUGAUGUUUGUUAGGUGCCAAGCAAUAGAAAAAGAUUCAUGCACUAAGGCACUCUAUAAAACCCCAAAGUUACAAGUGAAACAAUAUUUAGGAAAAAUAUUUAAAACUACUAACAAGUUUUGAAUUUUCCUUUUAUGCACUUAAUAUGCCUAAUAUGAAUUACGAUGCAAAUAUUUUCAAGCAAUUAUAAGGUAGUAUAAAGCAUAAUUCCAAUCAUGCGUGUGAAAUGUGCAUGAAAGAAAAGGUGGAAACAAUUGGCAAGUGUAACAUAAAUGAAGAAAUGUGUCAAGGUGAUAACAAUGACAAAGAUGAUGCAAUAAUUGAACAGUAAAGAAAAUUAUUGUAGUGUCAUUAGAUGUCAUCGUGUAAAUUUAUGAAUUCAUAUCUAUUCACUUAAGACAUAUAGGUGUCAUCAUGUAAAUUUAUAUGACCUAUGACAACGUUUUUUAGAAAAACCACUAUUAAAUAUCACAUACGACAAUGUUUUUUACAUUUUAAAAGUGUUGUUGUAUCUUAUAACAGCGCUACAUACUAUAGCGUUUAAAAGUACUGUUAAAUGCAUUAAAAAAACGCCAUUAAAGUAUAUUUUUGCAUAUAGUAUAUAAGCAUUUAAGAUAGUGUGUGUGAGAAGCAAAGGCAUUUUGGCUUAUAAAUAAGGUUUCUACGAGAGAAUGAAGCAAGUUGUAGUAGCAAAAACUAUCUUUGUAUACGUUUCCUUCUUGAAACAUAAUCUUAAGUCCUUUAGGAUUUAGCUUGGCAUUCUUGUGCUUGUGUCAGGUUUUAUUGUAUCAAAUUAUCUUCAUAGAUAAAAUUCCUCUUUAUACUUAUUAUAAUUCUUGUUCAAAUUGCGGAAGAUGUAGUGGAAAAAAUUAAAUAUAUUAUAAAUAUAAUUAAAUUGUCUUUUAUAGUUUUAAUUCCUAAAAUAGAUAAUCUGUAAGUGUUAUCUGAUUAUAGAACCAUUGUGUUAGUGGAGUGUAUGUAUAAAGUUUUAUCAAAAGUUUUGCAAAUAGACUAAGUCAGGUGAUUGGUUCGGUAAUAGUUGAAUCUCAAUUAGUGUUUGUUAAAGGCAGAAAUUUUUUGGAUGGGAUCUUAAAUGCAAACGCAGUGGUCGAUGGGGCAAAAAGAAGAAAAAAUAGUUAAUUUUGUUCAAAGUGAAUUUGGAGAAGGCAUAUGACUCAGUUGAGUGGGAUUACCUAGAUCUUGUGAUGGCAAAGAUGAGUUUUCUAGAGAAAUGGCGAAAAUGGAUUUUGGAAUGUGUUGGCUCAGCGUGAGUUUAUGUGCUAGAGAAUGGGAUUCCUACAGAAGAGUUUGUUAUGCGGAGGGGAUUGAGAUAGGGUGACCCCUUCCUUAUCUUUGUUCUUGUUUCUAAUAGCUGCUAAGUUAAGUAACAAUGUUGAUUUACAAGGAAGGGGGGUUUGAAUUGUAAAUGUACCUUUUAAAAACUCAUGUUAAAAGCUUAAGAAAAUAACUCUAGAUUGAUCUUGGUUAAGAAAACAGAGAAACGAAGAUCUUUCUUGAUUUUAUUAUAAAACAGCGAAUGUUUCUUGAUUAGCUUAAAACAGAAAAUCAGUUUGUGUUUUAUCUUAGUUAAUCAAUUAAGUUUAACAAAUAAAGAGAUAGGAUAGAGAAUACCACACAAAGAAAUAUCCCGGUUCAACCAACUUGGGUUACGUCCAGUCCUCACACUGUGAGAUUUUCCACUAAGUGUUUAAAACAAAGAACCUUCUUGAUUUUACAGCACCUAGUCUAGAUCAAUCUUGAUCUGUUUUAAUCUCUAUUACUUUCCACCCAGAAAGCAACAACAGCACCUAUCUAACUUUGGUAGGAUUCAAUACAAUCUAAACAAACUAUAAAAAAAAAACUCUUAUAGUUUGAGUUUUUACAAUAAGAUUGAUUUUGAUAGAAUCUAAGAUAUCUCAACUCUUGUUUGAGAUUUGAUUCUUUACAAAGAAAUCAGUAAUGAUCAAGCAAUCUGUUAUGAGACUUUAGAACUACUUCUUCUUUGUGAAUUUUGAGAACUUCAAGUAUGUGUAUGUGAUUGAUUUGUGGGAUUUUACAGCACUUGAAUUUCUUGCUUUGCUCUUGGAUAUUGGCCUUCUAUUUGUAGGCUUUAGAAGCAUUUGAUGAGAGUUGUUGGUAGUGCUCUGUAUUUUUGACUGAAACCAAUAUUUCAGAAUAAAAAUAAUCCAUCCUUUGAUUUAAAACUGCUUUUGACUUUUCUGUUACAGUUUUAAAUCAGUUUUUCUUCUAGUUAAAAAGCCUUUGAAGUUUCUCCCUUGAUCUUUGAUAGUACUGUUUCGAUCUUGAGUCUUGAAUGUAGCCAAUCGAGUUUGGAGAAGAAUUAUAAGCCAUUGCAGAAGAGAACAAACUGAUGCUGGAGUUAUGCAGAAAAUGGAGAUUGAUUAUCAAUCUGGAUCUAUCAAUUUGAUCUUUCUGGAGUUUUGAUGAUCAAUCUGGAAUUCCUAUUUUGAUCAUUCUGGAUGUCCUUUGCAAUGUCUUAUCAUGUAUCAAGGUUGAUCAAACUUUCUUGACAGUUUGAUUUUAGAGUUACAAACUGUUCUUAUUUUUGACUGUUUUUGAGUCCUUUUAUUUUAGUGAUCAGAUAGCCUUUUUGAUCUGGGAUGAGUCCUACUUGUUCCUUGCCAUGUACUGAUUCUAUUUGAAUGAAAUUUCGAGGCAGAAUCUUUGUUAAAGAGGUGGAGAAAGAUUGGUCAAUAUGUUGUGAUGAACAUUCUUGAAACUGGAGAUCAUUCUUUGUUUUUAUGCAGAAUGUUCUUAUUGCUGUCUUUUCUGCUUUGCUUGAUUCUGUUCUUAAAUAAAUUCACUCAAAAGCACAAGUUAAAUUUACAUAACAUUUUAGAAUCAUAAUUAACUUUCUUAAUUAACAUUUAUUUAUUUUCAUCAAAACUUUAAAUAUGGAGUUUGUCUCAACAAUCUCCUCCUUUUUGAUGAUGACAAACAUGUUAAUUUAGAUUUUAAUUCUGAUUCUAAUAUCAAAUAUUUAAAGAGCUUAAAAGCUCCCCCUCAAUUAAUGCAGUUUUUUAAAUUGACAUAAUUUAAAACACUUUAUGCGAUAAACUGGUUUUUUAUUUAAUUGAGAACAAAGUUACAUAACUAUGAGCAGAAUUACAUAAUCAGUCUUUUUUAUACAAAUUAAAAGCUAACUUAAUUCUCCCCCUUUGUCAUUCAAAAAGGUAACAUAAAAGCAACUAAGAAGCUAAGGAGGGAGAGGAUCCUUCUGAAGAGUAGGAUUUUCUUGGUGGAGGAACUUAAGGAAGAGGAGGAACCGGAUGACGUGGAGGAGGUGGAGUUCCCAGCUUGGGAGCAAGUUGCUCUGUGAGCCAAGUUCUCAGUAGAGUGAUAUCUGAAUUGGAAGGUUCAGACUGGCGAGGAGUAGUGUGAAGAUGAGUUGUUGGCUGAGUGGUAGUGGCAACAACUGUAUUGGGAGACACAAAAAUAGAUGGAAGAGUGCCAACUGAUGUGGACAUGGAUGGUAGAGACGCUAGUGGGGUAGACAGAUUUGUAGAUGGGGCAGCAUGUUCUGGGAAGUUCAAAAACUGACUAAUGCUAAAAACAGAAGAGCUGGUUUUUUGUGGGGAAAUAAAGAGUGGUGACAUGGUGCUCGUGUUUUGAGCAGUUAGAAAAGUCCCAAAAUUCAGAAGUGGGGAGCGAAGAAGUUGAGAGAAGGAGAUGAAUUCAGUUGAAGAAAUGGUGGAUGAAGUAGGGAGAAAAGUUGAAGGAUUCGGGUUUUUAGGUGGAGAACGUUCUUGAAGAGGUGAAGAACGUUCUUGAACAGGUUCGGGAACUGCUUCUUGUGAGUGAUCAGAUGAGGAGGGUGAAAAAGGAACGGGAAUGGGGAUAGGUCGGGUUUGAGCUGAUCUCUUUCUUUUGAGAAAGGUGGGAAAGGAAGAUGUGGUGGAUGAAGGUGGGGCAGAAAAGGUCUUUUUCAUAUGAAAGAGAUUUUUGGUGGAGAAUUUGGAGAGUUUGAUCAGAGAUUUUUCAGAAGAAAGAGAGACUCCAAAAUACCUGAAGACUUUAGUCAAUACCAUUCCAUAAGGUACAAUAUUCUUCUUGUAGUCUUCGGUUGCUGCACAUGUCAUGUGUUGAAGAAUCACAUGAGGCAAGUUCAGACGUUUGCAGUUUAGAAGAUGGUGGAUGAGUAGUGCGUCAUUGUUAGAGACAUACUCAUGACUUCCACAGUGAGGAAUUAGAGUAUGCUGGCACAUACUAUUGAACACUUUAGGGAGGGGCUUGAGGUAUGUUGACAAGUAGCGGGUUGAGUUUUCUUGAAACAAAUCAGAGAGUAUGUCAGUCUUUCGAAGAUUCAAGGCUGAGUACCAGUUGUUACAAAACACAGAUGGGCCUUCUGUGGGCAACUAAAGGAUUGAAGCCAAAAUGUCUAGAGUUAGUUUGUUCUCAACUCCCUUAAUCGUGGAAAUGCUAAGGGAUUUGUCAGCAAACGUCUUUGCAUUGCAAUAAAAUGCUCGGACAACAUCUGGAUAGUAGCAUUCAGAUUUUUGCAGGAACGAGGUCCAUCCAAGAGCAUAUGUGUGAUGUUGGACAGCAUUGCCUUCAAUGAUGAGGUUGUCAAAGACAAAGACUCGUCCAAUCCCAACUGGGCGUUGAGCCCAUUUGUUUUUGAAGAGUUUGGUUUUGCUGGGAGGAAUCAGAGGUGGAGUAUUUUGUUUUGAUUUUUUAGGUGGUGGGGAUGGUUCAAAUUCAGAGGAGGUGGAGGUAGAGGAACGUUCUCGAGUGGGAAAACGUUUGGCGUGUGUGGAUGGGGAAGGUCGUGGAUGAGGAGUGGAUUCUAGAGGAGAGAUUGUGUGAGCAGGAGAACGUUCUUGAGUUGGAGGACGUUCUGGUGAUGGAGGAGAAAAGGGAGUUUCAACAGGAGAACGUUCCAAAAUUGGAGAACGUUGCUGAGGUUGGAGUGGGGAACAUUGUGGAGAAUGUUCUGGAGAGGCGGGUUGACAGUGUUUGAGAUUUUGUUUUGGAGCGAGGGUUUUUCUCCUUUGAGGGUUUGGGAGAUUCUUUCGAGCAAGGAACUGCGAAUUGUCAUGGUAGAUUUUGUUUUCAUGGAUUUUGUUUGUGGUUUGGAUUGAGAGAGGGGUUCAUUUUGUUUAGUAAGAGGGGAGACAAUUUCAUUUAUCAAUCUCUAUUUUUGUUUUGGGGGAGUUGAUUGUGAGGGUUCAGAAGAGAAAGCUGAUUUGGAUGGUGUGGUAGGUUUGGUGUUUGUUGGUGUCCUUGCUGAUGUUGAUGGUUGGGUUUUUGUGGGUGCCUUUUCGAAUGAUGAAGGGCAAGAAUCAGAGGAAUCAUCAGUCUCAGAAUCUGAGAUGAUGAAAUAAUGUGGUUUUAGGUUUGAUGGUUUUGAGGUUCCAAUUCCAGAUUGAACCCUCAUUGAUCUUCGUUGAGGAAUGGUUUGGUUACGAUACUGUGGAGGAACUUGAGCAAGGUUUGGUGCGGGACGAGUGUAUAGUGGUGGAAGAAUAGUAGACAAAGGAUUGGGAUUGAAGAUUUCUUGGCUGUUGUCAGAAGAGGUUGAAUCAGAGGGGGUGUGUGGCGGUGUUGGUCGAGGUGGUGGAGAAGGUGAACGUUCCACAUAAUCAGAUGAAGGGGAUGAAGGUGGUGAGCAGGGACAAGAAUUUUUGCGUGCUAAUUGUUUGGUUCGCGCCAUUUUUGUCUGUUGAGUAAGUGAGUUUAGAGUGAGAAAGAUGAAGGAGAAGGCUGGUAUUUAGAUGCAGAUUUUGGGGAAAAAUAAGGUGAAGAGGUUGAAAAAAGGAACUGCUUUUCUGACUUGAGAAGAGGAAAAGAAAAUAAUGAUUAUUUUAUGACUAGUUGUUCUCAACCUAGGGAAGGAGGAAAGGAAUUUUGGGGGCUAUAAAGUUUGUGUCAGCACUCUAUCUUCAGACAGAGAGACACAUGUAUAAAAUGCCAAGAUUUGCCUUCUUGAUUUUGAGAGGGAAGGCGAUGACUCAAACAGAGAAUGUUGGUUUUUCAGAACGGGGAAUGAUGCUCGCGAAACGGAGACUGAUAAACGUUCUCCGUUUUUUGCAUAAGCAGAAUUUAUCCAGAAUUUUAUGGAUUUUUCAUGAUUUUCAAUUUUUCUUUGAUUAAAUUGAAGCUAUCCUCGACAAGAGGCUUUGUAAAAAUAUCAGCAAGUUGAUUUUGAGUGUCAACAAAGAUUAAUUCAAUAUCCUUCUUAUUGACAUGAUCACGAAUAAAGUGAUGUUUUAUUUCAAUAUGUUUUGAUCUAGAAUGUUGAAUGGGAUUCUUAGACAAAUUAAUCGCACUCGUAUUAUCACAAUAAAUUGGAAUACUGAAAUAACUUACAGAGUAGUCUUGAAGUUGAUUUUUAAUCCACAAAAUCUGUGAGCAACAGUUUGCUGCUGAAACAUAUUCGGCCUUUGUUGUUGAAAAGGCUAUUGUGUUUUGUUUUCUGCAAGACCAGCUGAUUAAUGCUUCGCCUAAGAAUUGACAUGCUCCACUUGUUCUUUUUCUUUCAAUUUUAUCUCUGGCAUAAUCAGCAUCACAGUAUGCUAUAAGAUCAAAAUGUGAACCCUUUCUAUACCAAAGACCAAGAUUAGUGGUUCCAACAAGAUAUCUAAAUAUGCGUUUUACUGCGGUUAAAUGGGAUUCUUUUGGUGCUGAUUGAAAUCGAGCACAUAAUCCCACUGCAAACACUAUAUCAGGCCUACUGGCAGUUAAAUAUAGCAGAGAGUCGAUCAUUCCUCGAUACUCUUUCUCAGAAACAGCAUUGCCAUUUUCAUCUUUUUCUAAAGAAGAUGGAUGCAUAGGAGUCGUCGUGAUUUUUUAUUCAUUCAUUUUGUAUUUAACCAACAGAUCUUUGAUGUACUUUUCUUGACAAAUAAAAAUGUCGUUUUCAUAUUGUUUAAUUUGUAAGCCGAGAAAGUACCUUAUUUCUCCCAUCAUGCUCAUUUCAAAUUCACUUGGCAUAAGUUUUGAAAAGCUUUCACACAUUUUUUCAUUUGUUGAUCCAAAAAUGAUAUCAUCAUCAUAUACUUGAUUGACGAGUAAAUCAUUCCCCUAUGUUUUCUUAAAUAGUGUGGUGUCGAUUUUUCCUCUUAGAAAAUCAUUUUUAAUUAAGAAUGAACUCAGUCGUUCAUACCAGGCCCUUGGUGCUUGUUUUAAGCCAUAUAGAGCUUUGGUAAGUUUGAAAACAUGAUUUGGUUUAGAUUGACUUUCAAAACCUGGGGGCUGUUUUACAUAUACUUGUUCAUUUAAGAAUCCAUUUAAAAAAGCACUUUUAACAUCUAUUUGAAAUAAUUUGAUAAGUUUAUGAGAUGCAUAUGCAAGAAGUAUUCGAAUAGCUUCUAACCUUGCAAUUGGAGCAAAUGUUUCAUCAUAAUCUAUACCUUCCUAUUGAUUAUAACCUUGAGCUACCAAUCUUGCUUUUUUUUUCUUCUGAUAACCUUACCUUCUUCAUCUAGUUUGUUUCUGAAAAUCCAUCGUGUACCAAUGAUUGUUUGAUCUAAUGGAUUAGGUACCAAAGUCCAGACUUCAUUUUUCUCAAACUGCAGUAGUUCUUCCUUCAUGGCAUUUACCCAAGAUUGAUCAAUAAUUGCUUCUUUGAUUGAUUUUGGUUCGAUCUGAGAUAUCAUUGCCAUGUUGUUUUCAUCAUUCUUGAAUGAUUUUCUGGUUCUAACUCCAUCAGUUGUGUCUCCAAUGAUCUGGGUUUGAGGAUGAUCUUCAAUUGUUUUCCAGCUUUUUGGUGGAGAAUGAAAUGGAGAUUGUUUAUCAAUCUCUGUUUUCUGCAAACUGUUUUGUUGUUGUGUUUCGAUUGGAAUUUCUUCUUCCUCAUCCUUUUUACUUAUAUCUAAGUCAUCAAACUUAUCAAAUAAUAUGUGCAUACUUAUUUCAACAACAUUUGUUCUUAAAUUAAACACUCUAUAACCUUUGGAGUCGGUUGAGUAUCCAAGAAAGAUUGCUUUAUCAGAUUUUGCAUCAAAUUUUCCAAUGAGAUCUUUGUUGUUUAAAAUGUAACAGUAACACCCAAAGAUGUGAAAGUAAGAGAUGUUUGGUUUUCUAUUUUUCCAGAUUUCAUAUGGGGUCUUGUUGAUGAUCUUUCUGAUAGAUACACGGUUUAGAAUAUAGCAAGAUGUGUUUAUGGCUUCAGCCCAAAAAUAUCUUUCAACAUUUGAUUCUUCUAAAAUAGUUCUUGCCAUUUCUUGUAGUGUUCUAUUUUUUCGUUCAACAACUCCAUUUUGUUGUGGAGUUCUUGCACAUGAGAGAUUAUGAGAGAUGCCAAGUUCAUCAAAAAAAGUUUUAAAUGAAGCAUUUAUGAAUUCUCCUCCAUGAUCACUUCUUACAGAAAUGAUAUUGUCCAUGAUCACUUCUUACAGAAAUGAUAUUGGAUCCUUUUUCAUUUUGAAUCUUUUUACAGAAUGUUUUGAAUGCUUCAAAAGCAUCAUCUUUUUGUUUCAAAAACAGUACCCACGUAAAUCUUGAAAAAUCAUCAACAAUGACAAAACCAUAUUUCAUUCCUCCUAGACUUGUUGUUUUGACUGGCCUAAAUAAAUCAAUGUGAAGUAGUUCAAGAGUUCUAUUUGUUGUUACAAAAUCUUUUGAGUGAAAGCUACUUUUGACUUGUUUUCCUUUUGCACAAGCUUCGCAUAUUUUAUCUUUUUCAAAGUUGAGUUUUGGUAAUCCUCUAACAAGAUCUAGUUUAGAAAUCUUUGAAAUGGUUUUCAUACUGAUAUGCCCAGCCCUUUUAUGCCAAAUCCAUUUAUCUUUAUUGAUUGAUAUAAAGCAUGAUUCAUCAGGUAGUUCUUCAAGAUACAAAACAUAUAAAUUUUUCUUUCGAUUUCCAAAAAAUAGAAUUUCUCCAGUUUUUGUUUUUCUGAUUUCACAUACCUUUGGGUUGAAAAUGACUUCACAUCCAUUGUCACAUAGCUGACUUAUACUUAACAGAUUGUGUUUUAAACCUUCCACAUAUUGAACAUCAUUUAUUUGAGCAGAGUUUGUCUUACCAAUGGUUCCAUUACCUUUAAUCUGAGCUUGAUUGUCAUUUCCAAAAGUGAUCGAUCCUCCAUCCUUCUUGGUGAAUGUUAUGAAGCAGUUUUUAUCUCCUGUCAUGUGUCUUGAGCAGCCACUGUCCAAGAACCAAGGUUUUCUCUUUAUAUUUGGAAAACCAACCUGCAUAUGAUAUUAUUUCAGCCUUAGGUACCCACUUUGUUUUGGGUCCUGUAGAGUUAGCUUUAACAUUUCCUUUUUCUUUGAAAUGAUAUAUCAUUCCUUUAUUCUUGAAACUAGCUGAGUUUUUAGUUGUUGAUUUUCAAAUAGGUUUAACAAUCUGAUUUUCAAAAGGUUUAAACUUUGGUUUGAAAGAGUUUCUAGAUCGUUCAGCUUGUGUUUUCGAACUUUCUCCGUUUAGGAAACAUUCUGGAGAUUGUUCUCUCUUUUUUGCAGUUUUUUCACAAUUAUUUUACAGAAUGAUUUCCUCUUUCAAUUACCUUUUUCCUUUCAAUCUUUUCAUCUCUUUUUCUAAAAUAGCAAGAAAAUUCCAGAUGUCCAAGUUUUUUACAAUAUGAGCAUCUAGUUUUGCAUUUUUCUUCCUUUCUUUCUGGGACAAAGAAAUUUUCAUAUAGCUUGGUUUUUUGGGUUUGAUUGAAACGAAGACCAGCUUUAUCAAAAAUUCCUAUUUGAGAUCCCAUGAUGUUAUGAAAGGUUUCAGUGGCUUUAAUGAAAUUUAAUAAAUCUAUUUUGAGAAGUUCGUUUUCAUUUUUCAGUCGAACGUUCUCUGUUUGUAGUGCAGAACGUUCUUGACUUUCAUGAUUUUCAAAAAUCUGUUUUUCUAUUUCUUUCAAAUCUUGAAUGAUCGUUUUUAGCAUGUUAUUUUUAGCCUGACUUUCUUCUUUUUCUUUAUAAAGUUGUUCUUUUAAGGAACUGCAUUUUUGAAUAAGGAGAUUUGAGUCAUUUAACAAGUUAUCAAAUUCUUUUCCCAUUUGUUCACAUAAAUGAUAAGGUUCAGAACUUAUUACCUUUUCUUCCUCUAUUUUUUCCAUUAAGCAUAUGUUGGCUUCUUCUUCUUCUUCUUCAGUUUCUGAUUCUUCUAAGUGAUCCCAUGUUGCCAUCAUUGAUUUCUUUUUGAAAGGAAAUCGUUUUGGUGGAUUUCUGUUUGAAGGACAUUCUGUUUUGUAAUGUCCUAAUUUGUUGCAUCCAAAGCAUGUGACUUCACUUUUGUCAACCUCUGUUUUGGGAUUUUUGUUUUGAAAUCCCUUUUUGAUUUGAUCUCUUCUUCUCAUCAUUCUUUGUAUUCUUCUGGUGAGAAGAACAAUUUCAUCAACAUCUCCUUGUUCAUUUUCUUCUGGUUCUUCCUCUAAUUAUGCUGAGAUUUUUUCUUGGGAAGCUUUUAGUGCUAUUGCCUUUCUUUCCUUUAUUGGUUUGUCUUCUUGUAACAAUACUUCAUGUGCUCUUAAUGUUCCAAUUAAUUCUUCUAGAGGUAGUGAUUCAAGAUUCUUGGCUUGACUUAUAGCUGUUACCAUUGGUCUCCAUAUAAUUGGAAGACACCUCAUGAUCUUUCUUACUCUUUCUUGUAUUGUGUAAGCUUUGCCGAGGGAACGCAUUUCGUUUACUAUUGUAGUAAAUCUUGAGUACAUUUCAUCAAUAGUUUCUUCUUCUUGCAUUUCGAACAAUUCGAAUUUCUUUAUGCCAAUGUCUCUUCUUAUUUCUUUGACAUGGCUUGUUCCUUCAUGAUGAGUUUGUAGUGUAUCCCAAACUUCUUUUGUAGUUGUGCAUUCAUCUACCCUUUCACUUUCUUCACUGCUUAAAGCACAUGAUAAAAAUAACUGAGCUUUAGAAUUUAAAAGUACCUUAGCUUUAUCAUCGGUUGUCCAGUUUUUUCUUUCUUUAUGGCAAAGUUUGAGUCAUCUUGAUCAAUCCUUGGUCUGAAGUCUACAUCUAUAAUGAUACGCCACAUUCAUGUGUCUUGAGACUUUACAAACAGCUGCGUUUUGUUUUUCCAAAAGUAGUAAUCCGAUCCAUCAAAAAAUGGUGGUCUGUUUGAGGAUCCUUCUUCAACAAUGUAUUUUGCUUUCGACAUUCUUCUAGAUCUUUUCUCUAGCACUUGUUAGGUGUUUUUUUAACUUUCUAGAGACCGAGCUCUGAUGCCAAUUGAAGUAACAAUGUCGAUUUACAAGGAAGGGGGGUUUGAAUUGUAAAUGUACCUUUUAAAAAUUCCUGUUAAAAGCUUAAGAAAAUAACUCAAGAUUGAUCUUGGUUAAGAAUACAGAGAAACGGAGAACGUUCUUGAUUUUAUUAUAAAACAGAGAACGUUCCUUGAUUAGCUUAAAACAGAAAAUCAGUUUGUGUUUUAUCUUAGUUAAUCAAUUAAUUUUACCAAAGAGAUAGGAUAUAGAAUACCACACAAAGAAAUAUUCUAGUUCACCCAACUUGGGUUACGUCCAGUCCUCACACUGUGAGAUUUUCCACUAAGUGUUUAAAACAAAGAACCUUCUUGAUUUUAUAGCACCUAGUCUAGAUCAACUUUGAUCUGUUUUAAUCUCUAUUACUCUCCACCCAGAAAGCAACAACAACACCUAUCUAACUUUGAUAGGAUUCAAUACAAUCUAAACAAACUAUAAAGAAACUCUUAUAGUUUGAGUUUUUACAAUAAGAUUGAUUUUGAUAGAAUCUAAGAUAUCUCAACUCUUGUUUGAGAUUUGAUUCUUUACAAAGAAAUCAGUAAUGAUCAAGCAAUCUGAUAUGAGACUUUAGAACUGCUUCUUCUUUGCGAAUUUUGAGAACUUCAAGUAUGUAUAUGUGAUUGAUUUGUAGGAUUUUACAGCACUUGAAUUUCUUGCUUUGCUCCUGGAUAUUGGCCUUCCAUUUAUAGGCUUUAGAAGCCUUUAAUGAGGGUCAAAAAGAGUUGUUGGUAGUGCUCUGUAUUUUUGACUGAAACCAAUAUUUCAGAAUAAAAAUAAUCCAUCCUUUGAUUUAAAACUGCUUUUGACUUUUCUGUUACAGUUUUAAAUCAAUUUUGUCUUCUAGUUAAAAAGCCUUUGAAGUUUCUCCCUUGAUCUUGGAUGGUAUAGUUUCGAUCUUGAGUCUUGAAUGUAUCCAAUCGAGUUUGGAGAAGAAUUAUAAGCCAUUGCAGAAGAGAACAAACUGCUGCUGGAGUUAUGCAGAAAACAGAGAUUGAUUAUCAAUCUAGAUCUGUCAAUUUGAUCUUUCUGGAGUUUUGAUGAUCAAUCUAGAAUUCCUGUUUUGAUCAUUCUGGAUGUCCUUUGCAAUGUCUUAUCAUAUAUCAAGGUUGAUCAAACUUUCUUGGCAGUUUGAUUUUAGAGUUACAAACUGUUCUUAUUUUUGACUGUUUUUAAGUCCUUUUAUUUUAGUGAUCAGAUAGCCUUUUUGAUCUGGGAUGAAUCCUACUUGUUCCCUGCCAUGUAUUGAUUCUAUUUGAAUGAAAUUUUGAGGCGGAAUCUUUGUUAAAGAGGUGGAGAAUGAUUGGUCAAUAUGUUGUGAUGAACAUUCUUGAAACUGGAGAUCAUUCUCUGUUUUUAUGCAGAAUGUUCUUAUUGUUGUCUUGUUUGUUUUGCUUGAUUCUGUUCUUAAAUAAAUUCACUCAAAAGCACAAGUUAAAUUAAUAUAACAUUUUAGAAUCAUAAUUAACUUUCUUAAUUAACAUUUGUUUAUUUUCAUCAAAACUUUAAAUAUGGAGUUUGUCUCAACACUAAGGGCCUAAAUGCUCUAUUUAGUGCUUCUAUGGAAGCCAAUCGGCUUAAAGAUUUUGAGAUGGGCUCAAAUGAGUUUUGUGUCUCUCUUUUACAAUUUGCAGAUGAUAUGUUGAUCAUGGAAAAGAAGUGUUGGGAUAAUAUUAGAGCAAUUAAGGCUAAUUUAUUGUGGUUUGAGCUUCAACCUGGCCUAAAGGUUAAUUUUCAUAAAAGUAUGUUGGUAGGUGUUAAUGUUAACAGUUCUUGGCUUCAAAUUGCAGCAUGUUAUUGAGAAGAUCCGAAAUAGGUUGGAUAGGUGGAAAUCUAUAACUUUCUUGUUGGGUGGUUGUUUAGUACUCCUCAAAGUUGUCUUGUCUGCAUUACCAUUUAGUAUCAUUUCUCAACUUAACUAUAUCUUUAAAUUGUUUCUUUGGAAUGGGAAUGAGGAGGUGAGUAAGGUUUAUUGGGUCAUAUGGGAUAAGGUGUGUUUGCCUUUAGAGAAGGGUGGAUUAGGAGUCUGAGGUUUGAAAGUUUUUAAUAAAGCUCUAUUGGGUAAAUGAAGUUGGAGGUUAAUAACGGAGUCAUAUGGCCUCUGGGAUAUGAUGUUGAUCAAUAAAUAUGAAGUGGAAGUUAGGGGUUUUAGGGGGAAAAUUUGAGAGGGUCUGUGUGGUGGAAUGAUAUUUUUGCGGGAAGACCUGGUAUUGAAGAUGAAUGGUUUGAUAAAAAAAUUAUAGGGAAUGAGAGUAAUACUUUUGUUUUGGAAGGAUUUAUGGUUGGUUUGUAGAAUUUUGUGUGAGAAAUUUAGUUGGUUGUUUCAUUUGUCUUUGCAACAAGAGGAAAGCGUAGAGGUUAUGUUAGAGACAUUGUGACUGGAGAGUUUUCAAGGGUGGAGAUGGCAUAGGCAGGUUAAUGUUCAUUUGGUAGAGGUUAUUUUAUUGGCUAAUGUUCAUUUGCAGGUUAAUGUAGUAGAUAAGUGGUCGUGGAAUAAUACGCAAGAAGGAUUGUAUUAUGUAUAGAAGGUGUAUUUUUUGUUUCAGCAGAAGUUUAUCGCAGGUGUCACUGCACCUCCAUUUCAAGAGCUAGUAUGGAAUCCUUUUGUCCAAUCAAAAGUAUCAUUAUGUGUGUGAAGAUUGUUUCAAAAUAGGUUGCCUACGAAGGAUAAUUUUUUCCACCGGGGAAUCAUUUCUAUGGAAGAUCAACACUGUGUAUCAAGUUGCAAGGAAGUUAAAACAGUCUGUCAUUUAUUCUUUGUGUGCCCUCUUUUGGAUUCGCGUGGUAUGGUGUUUUGAAUUGGUUUAAACUAUCGGGUGUUUUUCAUAUGGAUGCAAUCAAUCACACUAACCAAUUUAUUGGUCUUUUUUCAUGCGGGCGUGUAAUGCGUCAAAGAAUUAAUUUAGUUUGGUUUGCAAUGACUUGGAAGAUUUGAAAAUCAAGAAAUGAGGCGAUUUUUCGUUCGCAUGUUUUAAAUGCAAAUCUUAUUAUUGAGCAAGUUAAACUUUUAGCUUGUAGGUGGAUCACAUUGCAUGUAAAAUGAUUUUGUUAUGGGUAUAACCAAUAGUGCUCUCAACCCUUUGAGUGUAUUGACAUUGCUUGUGGUUAAUUGUUUUGUUUCUUGUUGAGUAGUUUAAUUGUGUUUUGGAUUUGUUUUGAUCUUAUGGUAGAAACAUUAUAAAAUUUCUUUUGUUCUUGUUCUAAAUACUUCUUGUGUUUAGAAUGUUUCUUUAAUAUAUUCAUUUUUGACUUGUUAAAAAAAUAUAUUCUAAAUUAUAAUCAGGUAUUAUUGUUUAAUUAUGGAUUAUAAUUAUGAUUCUCAUGUGUUUUGUCUUAAAAACAAGUUUAACAUUAUUAUCGUAUAAAAUUGAAAGAAAAAAAGUGAUAUAUAACACUGGCAUCCUAAAAAAAAAAAAUUGAAUAUUAUAAAGGUAGCAAUAGAUCCAACUCUAUUUCAGAAAAUAUAAAAAGUAGAUUUAACUUAACAAAAGAUUCAAAUAUGAAAGCAAAAAAGAGAAUUGGAGGUAAAAUGAAAAUAUUUAAUAAAAAGACAAUACCACAUACUAUUAAAAAUUAAUUAAUGAAGCACCAAUAGACAUAGAAUAUGCCCAAGGAUAUACGUAUACACAAUUAUUAAAUAAAAAGAAUUUUAUGGAAUUAAAAAGAAAUAUAAGAAAACAAGAAAAUAGAAAUAAGAUCAGAUAUAUUCACAUAGGAGCAAUACAAAUUCUUAUAAAAGUAACUUUUGAAGAAUUAAUUGACCGGUGAACUAAUAUUAAAGGAUGAUAGAAUAAAGAUCCCAUAGAUAAAGUACUUGGAACAGUGGAAGGAAAUUUAGCUUAUGUAAAAUUAAAAUUUGAAAGACAUCCUAAUAUAGGAAUACCUCUAGAUACACAAAAACUAGAUCUAUUGAAUGAGACUAGGAGAUAUAAUUUUUUAAAUCACUUCUUUUAAUCAAAAAAAUUCAAUCACUUAUUGGAUUAACAAAUUCCAACCAUGUAAUUACAUUUAGACAUAUUACUACGCCAAAAAUGACAUUUAAUAGCGCUCCUUUUACAGCGCUUGCUAAAUACAAGCGCUGUUGUAAGUAUAUUUUAAAAAUAACGGAGCCUUUUACAGCGUUUUUUUGACAAGCGCUGUGAAAAAAGCGCUGUUGUAGGGUCAUAUAGCGUUUGCGCAUAAUGUUAUAAGGCUUUUACAGCGCUUUUCGCAAAAGCGCUGUAAAAUGAAGCGCUUUCGCAUAUUAUUUUACAACGCUUCUUUCACAAGCGUUGUAAACUACAUGCGCUUUCAAUCAAUUUAACUACAUAUUACAGUGCUUUUUGUACAAGCGCUGUAAAAUACAUGCGCUUUCAAAUAUUUGAACUACCUAUUACAGCGCUUUUUUUACAAGGGCUGUAAAAUACAUGCGCUUUCAAUCAAUUUAACUACCUAUUACAGCGCUUUUUGUACAAGCGUUGUAAAAUACAGGCGCUUUCAAAUAAAUAUAAUUUUAUUUUAAAACAAAUUUACGAACCCUCAUCACCUCUACUCUGUGAACCCUCAUAUCCUCUACGUACUGUGCAGCCAUCUACGUUGUCUCAGGUAUUUUUUAAUUUGUUUUUGUCAAAAAAUAUUUAGUUUUUUAAUAAUUGAAAACUAAAAAUUGUUAUAUAUAUAUUAAAUCUCUUUUUUUNNNNNNNNNNNNNNNNNNNNNNNNNNNNNNNNNNNNNNNNNNNNNNNNNNNNNNNNNNNNNNNNNNNNNNNNNNNNNNNNNNNNNNNNNNNNNNNNNNNNNNNNNNNNNNNNNNNNNNNNNNNNNNNNNNNNNNNNNNNNNNNNNNNNNNNNNNNNNNNNNNNNNNNNNNNNNNNNNNNNNNNNNNNNNNNNNNNNNNNNNNNNNNNNNNNNNNNNNNNNNNNNNNNNNNNNNNNNNNNNNNNNNNNNNNNNNNNNNNNNNNNNNNNNNNNNNNNNNNNNNNNNNNNNNNNNNNNNNNNNNNNNNNNNNNNNNNNNNNNNNNNNNNNNNNNNNNNNNNNNNNNNNNNNNNNNNNNNNNNNNNNNNNNNNNNNNNNNNNNNNNNNNNNNNNNNNNNNNNNNNNNNNNNNNNNNNNNNNNNNNNNNNNNNNNNNNNNNNNNNNNNNNNNNNNNNNNNNNNNNNNNNNNNNNNNNNNNNNNNNNNNNNNNNNNNNNNNNNNNNNNNNNNNNNNNNNNNNNNNNNNNNNNNNNNNNNNNNNNNNNNNNNNNNNNNNNNNNNNNNNNNNNNNNNNNNNNNNNNNNNNNNNNNNNNNNNNNNNNNNNNNNNNNNNNNNNNNNNNNNNNNNNNNNNNNNNNNNNNNNNNNNNNNNNNNNNNNNNNNNNNNNNNNNNNNNNNNNNNNNNNNNNNNNNNNNNNNNNNNNNNNNNNNNNNNNNNNNNNNNNNNNNNNNNNNNNNNNNNNNNNNNNNNNNNNNNNNNNNNNNNNNNNNNNNNNNNNNNNNNNNNNNNNNNNNNNNNNNNNNNNNNNNNNNNNNNNNNNNNNNNNNNNNNNNNNNNNNNNNNNNNNNNNNNNNNNNNNNNNNNNNNNNNNNNNNNNNNNNNNNNNNNNNNNNNNNNNNNNNNNNNNNNNNNNNNNNNNNNNNNNNNNNNNNNNNNNNNNNNNNNNNNNNNNNNNNNNNNNNNNNNNNNNNNNNNNNNNNNNNNNNNNNNNNNNNNNNNNNNNNNNUUAAAACGUAUGUGGGAGACAGGUGUGGAAGUUUAUGAUGGGUAUAGGAAAAAGUGUUUCAAUUUGAGGGCUAUGUUGUUUGGCACAAUUAAUGAUUUUCCAGCAUAUGGUAAUUUAUCAGGAUAUAGCAUUAAAGGUCAGUGUGCAUGUCCUAUAUGUGAAGAGAGUACAAAUUGGAUGCGGUUGAAACAUUGUAAGAAGAAUGUGGUUCUUGGACAUCGUAGAUUUUUACCUUAUAGCCAUCACUAUCGUGGGUGGAGAAAUGCAUUCAAUGGAAAAUCAGAGGAAGGUAAAGCUCCUUUAGCACCGACUGGAGAUCAAAUACUUGAAAAAGUACAAGGUUUGACCAAUAAAUUUGGCAAACCUUUUGCGGGAGAGCUGGUCAAAACUGGGUGGAAGAAAAAGUCAAUUUUCUUUGAAUUGCCAUAUUGAAAGUCAUUGUAUAUAAGACAUUUCCUCGAUGUGAUGCAUAUUGAAAAAAAUGUAUUUGAUAGUGUUAUUGGUACGUUACUCAAUGUUCCAGGAAAGUCUAAAGAUGGCAUCAACGCAAGAUUGGACUUGGUCGAUAUGGGAAUAAGAAAUGAAUUGGGUCCCGUAAAGAAAGGAAAUCGCACAUAUCUACCUCCAGCCGCUCAUACUCUAUCUAGAAAGGAAAAAAUUUGUUUUAUGUAAAUUUCUACACGAAGUUAAAGUUCCAGAAGGUUACUCUUCAAACAUUAAAAUUUUGGUUUGUAUGAAAGACCUCAAGUUAAAAGGUUUGAAGACCCAUGAUUGUCAUAUUCUAAUGGAGCAUUUGCUACCAAUAGGUAUACGUUCCAUUUUACCUGAAAAAGUUCGACUAGCCUUAACUAGAUUAUGUUUCUUCUUCAGGGAAAUUUGUAGUAAAGUGAUCGACCCUCAGAAAUUACCGACAUUGCAGAGGGAAAUUGUUGUUACUUUGUGUGAGCUUGAAAUGUAUUUCCCACCAUCGUAAAGUAUUGUGAUAAAGACAAUGAUAACAAUGUUUUUAAUCCAAUAAACAAUGAUAACAAUGUUUUUAAUGUCAUCCCAACCCAAAUAAACCAAACGCAAAAAUAAAAUAAAGAGACAUUUUACAGCACUUAUUUGAAAAAGCGUUGUAAAAGAUCCUUUAAAAAAUAAAAUAAAGAGACAUUUUACAACGCUUAUUUGAAAAAGCGCUGUAAAAGGCUUUAAAAAUAACAUUUAUCAGACACCUAACAGGACCUUAUCUAACAAGAUUUUCUUCAAACACCUUGUACGCAUCAUGGGAAUCCCCAAAAACACAUUGUUAACAAAAACAUCAGACUCAAACCCAUUUUUCACAACAUGGCAAUGAACCUGAAGACCAAGUUUCGAACCACUUAUCGACGAAUUAGCACACGAUUUAAGAAGGAAAGGGAAUGUAAAGAGAGAAAAAGGGUGUUGAGGUGGAGAUUGAAUUGUGAGAGAGUAAACUUUGAUGUUUGUGAAGAAGAUGCAUAAAAUGAGAAGAGUUUGGUGAAUAGGAAGAGAAGCGCUGUAAUAAAACAAUGAGGCCUUUUACAGCGCUUAUUUAAAAAAGCGUUGUAACAGGCUUUAAAAAAAACAUUCAUAUACCAUAAUAAAACAAGGAGGCCUUUUACAGCGCUUUUUCAAAUAAGCGCUAUAAAAGAGCCUUUUAAAAUUAACAUAAUGAGACCUUUUACAGCACUUAUUUGAAGAAGCGCUGUAAAAGGCUUUAAAAAACAUUCAUAUAACAUGAUAAAACACGAAGGUCUUUUACAGUGCUUAUUGGGAGAAGCGCUGUAAAAGAGCCUUUUAAAAAUUUAAAUAAAGACGCCUUUUAGAGCGCUUUUCAAACAAGCGCUGUAAAAGGCUUAUAAAAAAUCGUUGUAAAAGGGUUACGUAUAUAUAACAGUAACCGCUUCAGUUUCCUCUUCAUUACGUAAACUUCACUAUCAUCUCAACCUUCAUCGUUCUUCUCUUCUUUUGCAAACCCUAUCAUCCCGUCCAUUACGAACCUUAUUUCCACGAUCAUCUCCUUCAUUUCGAACCUUAUUUCCAUCCAAGAUCAUCUCUCCCAUUUCACACAAUAUAUUUUCAUUGAAAUACGUAACCCUCAUUACGUAUUUCUUCAAACCGUAUUUCUGUGAACCAUAUUUCUGUGAACUUUCUGCAAACCCUCUUUUCUUUGCAUUUCGUCUUUCUUCGAACCAUCAUUAUUCAGGUAUUGAUGUUAUUAAAUUUUUGUAAUCAUUAGAAUGCAUGUUGAGCUUUUUUAAGAUAUACUGAUACAUGUUGAGUUUGUUUAUAAUAAUGCAUGAUCCAUGUUGAGCUUGUUGAUGUUAUACUAAAGUGCAUGUUGAACUUGUUGUAGUUAAAUGGAUACAAACAAAGAUUUAGAAGUUCAAAAUGAAGAAGUUGGCACCUCUAAGACUUACGAAAAAGAAGUCAAACGUGGUGCAACUAUCAUGCAAAGGGUGAUUAAAGCACGGAGCAGUGGCAUUAAAUUUGAGGUAUACUAUAUAUACUCUGUUUGCUGUGUGUUUUUUUAUCUUUUUUUAGGGUUUAGGGCAUGUACUUACUAUAUGAGUUUAUUAGGUUGGCUGGAACGAGAGUGGUCAGCCAGUUGACCCCAACAGCUCCAUGUUUGUAAGCUACAUUGGGGCUGUUGUUCGUCAAAAUGUCCCAAUAACAAUAGACAACUGGAGAGAUAAGGCGUUGAAGGAUGCCACAUUGGGGCUGUUGUUCGACAAAACAUCCCAAUUACGAUUGACAAUUGGACAGAUAAGGCGUUGAAGGAUGCCAAAGAUAUAAUAUGGAAUGACAUUAAAGUAAGUUUUUUGAUCCACUCGUUUGUCAUUUAUAAUUUUUUUCAUUGAAAUACUUUACUUAUAAUUUUGUUCAUUGCAGACGACUUUUGUUCUUGAUGAGGGACGAAAGAGAUAUGUUUUGAGAGUUGCUGGGAAAAUCCAUCGAGGAUUUAGAUCACAUCUCUCUUAUUUCUAUCUAAAAGAUAGAGAAGGAAACACAAAUGCUGAAGCUCCAAAAAUAUAUAAACAUUAUAUAUCAAAUGAGGAAUGGAGUGCAUUUGUUUCCAAACGUUUGGACCCCGCAUUUGUCGUAAGUGAUUAAUUUAUUAGCAUUUAUGAUUUAUUAUUCAUAUUCGUAGCGUAUUUUAAAUUUUUACACAAUUGCUAUUUUUUUUUAUAUAGAAUAUUAGUAAGGCAAAUCGCGAACGGGCAAGCAACCCAAAACACCCAUACAAGAAAUCACGUAUGGGAUAUGCACGCCUUGAACAAAAAAUUGUAAGUAAUUAAACAUCAUUGUGUAAGUAACAUUAUCACUUUAAUAUCACUUGAACACUUUUUAAUAUUGUAUUUUAAAAAUGCUAUUGAACUUAUCUUUUUAAUCCUACAUGUAUUUUAGGAGAUUAUCGAACAAAGUUCUGAAACUCAAGAGGGCAACAAGGAUACUUGCAGGGACAUUCUGGUUAAAGUGUUUAAUGUCCCUGAGUAUUCCGGUCGGGUUUGGAAAGGAUUUGGCGUAGCUCCCAAAAUGUAUUUUUCUCAAGAGAAGCGCCAAAAACCUUCCAACGAGGAAGUAUUAGAGAAGCUCAAAAUUCUUACAGAGCAAGUGGCACUUUUGGUGAAUACGAACAAAGACAAGCAACUCCCGGAUCAGCUCCAACAUGAAAUACAAAUGGAGAGUGAAACCGCGAGUUGCAACGUCGGUCUCAAAAGUAUUCCCGAGGUAAUUAAUUACUUACUUGAUUAUGUAAUUACUUAUGUAUUAAACAAACUUAUAUAUUAACCGUAUUUAUGUUUUAUCUAUUUGAUUUAGGGUGUCACUACAUGUGUGCUAUACUUGUCCUCGUCUACUCAUCGGAAGGUGGGAAAAGGAAAAUUGUACAAUACUUCGGGAGAAGUAUUGCACAAUACUCUGAUCCCUACGGGCCAUGUCAAAGUAUCACAUGUUGUUGCUUUCGAACCAACUGCACCGUUGCCGAUACCGGACAACGAUGGAGAUAUGCAGUUAUUGGGCGAAGCUAUUGGUAGUUACGUGGCAUGGCCCACCCACCUUGUUGCCCUCAAAAAAAAGAUUCCCAGAAACAAAUCAGUUACAUCUCCCGAAAAGGUUUGUCACAUUUAUUCCCUAAGGUUUGUCAUUUUUUCAGAUUCAAUAAACUAACAUUUAACCUCAUUUUUGUAGAUCCAAUUAAAUAAACCACCCGUACAGCCAAAAAGAGCCAGCAAACCUCCAACAUUGGAGGGUAAUAGGGCUGCCAAACUACAAAGGCUGGAGGGUAAUAAAGCGGCCAAAAAAAGAAAACUAGAUCGGGGAAAAUCGGUCGCUGUUGCCCAUGUUCCUAAAAUAAGUCAGCCACGCCUUGCUAAACACGGGGCGUGUCUUGACAUUCAAGUAAAACAGAACAUGGACAGCAACGACGAUUCGCGCAUCAUACCGAUGAAUAAAGCUAUAUUCGGAGAUGAGUAUGAUGAAUUUCUCGAAAAGGAGCACAUAUACGAACUUCUCAACCAUAAGGAGCUUAGUGCUACUGUCAUGUGCUUGUACAUAAGGUAAAAAAUACUUUUAAUUGCAUUUAUUGGUAAUUAAUUAAAUGUAUUGGUAAUUAAUCUAGUUUAAAAUUUUCAUUGAAGGUUUUUGUAUGAGAAGGUCGUGUGCACGAGGAAAUUGUCAAAUAAAUACUCAUUCUUGUCUCCGCAUAAGCUGUCGAUGUGCAAACUCGAUCCAGUAAAUGUAAAGAAAUACAUUGUAGAUAUGUUAUUAGGAAAUAAAGAAAAGGAUAAAUUGUUCUUCGCACCAUAUAAUUCAGGGUACGUAAUUAUAUAUUAUUUAUUUAUAUCUUUUUUAAUUGAUAUGAUUUUAAUUUAUUAGUUGUGUAUAAACAAAAUUGCUUAACCAAAUUUUUGUUGUUGUAGGGCACAUUGCGUUUUAUUUGCAAUCAAUGCGGUCUCUGAAGUUAUAUACUAUUUAGAUCCCUUGCAUGGCAAUUACAACAAUCACUCCGAAAUAAAGACUAUGUUCGACACGUAAGUAAUAUUCAUUUAUUUCUUACAUAUAUAUAUAUAUAUAUANNNNNNNNNNNNNNNNNNNNNNNNNNNNNNNNNNNNNNNNNNNNNNNNNNNNNNNNNNNNNNNNNNNNNNNNNNNNNNNNNNNNNNNNNNNNNNNNNNNNNNNNNNNNNNNNNNNNNNNNNNNNNNNNNNNNNNNNNNNNNNNNNNNNNNNNNNNNNNNNNNNNNNNNNNNNNNNNNNNNNNNNNNNNNNNNNNNNNNNNNNNNNNNNNNNNNNNNNNNNNNNNNNNNNNNNNNNNNNNNNNNNNNNNNNNNNNNNNNNNNNNNNNNNNNNNNNNNNNNNNNNNNNNNNNNNNNNNNNNNNNNNNNNNNNNNNNNNNNNNNNNNNNNNNNNNNNNNNNNNNNNNNNNNNNNNNNNNNNNNNNNNNNNNNNNNNNNNNNNNNNNNNNNNNNNNNNNNNNNNNNNNNNNNNNNNNNNNNNNNNNNNNNNNNNNNNNNNNNNNNNNNNNNNNNNNNNNNNNNNNNNNNNNNNNNNNNNNNNNNNNNNNNNNNNNNNNNNNNNNNNNNNNNNNNNNNNNNNNNNNNNNNNNNNNNNNNNNNNNNNNNNNNNNNNNNNNNNNNNNNNNNNNNNNNNNNNNNNNNNNNNNNNNNNNNNNNNNNNNNNNNNNNNNNNNNNNNNNNNNNNNNNNNNNNNNNNNNNNNNNNNNNNNNNNNNNNNNNNNNNNNNNNNNNNNNNNNNNNNNNNNNNNNNNNNNNNNNNNNNNNNNNNNNNNNNNNNNNNNNNNNNNNNNNNNNNNNNNNNNNNNNNNNNNNNNNNNNNNNNNNNNNNNNNNNNNNNNNNNNNNNNNNNNNNNNNNNNNNNNNNNNNNNNNNNNNNNNNNNNNNNNNNNNNNNNNNNNNNNNNNNNNNNNNNNNNNNNNNNNNNNNNNNNNNNNNNNNNNNNNNNNNNNNNNNNNNNNNNNNNNNNNNNNNNNNNNNNNNNNNNNNNNNNNNNNNNNNNNNNNNNNNNNNNNNNNNNNNNNNNNNNNNNNNNNNNNNNNNNNNNNNNNNNNNNNNNNNNNNNNNNNNNNNNNNNNNNNNNNNNNNNNNNNNNNNNNNNNNNNNNNNNNNNNNNCGCUUUUUCAAAUAAGCGCUGUAAAAUGCCCAUAAUUCAUAUAUUUGGUGUGCAUUUUACAGCGCUUAUUCGCAAAAGCGCUGUAAAAUGUGCACCCAAUAUAUUUAUUAUGGGUAUGCAUUUUACAGCGCUUUUUCAAAUAAGCGCUGUAAAAUGCCCAUAAUUCAUAUAUUUGUUGUGCAUUUUACAGCGCUUAUUCGCAAAAGCGCUGUAAAAUGUGCACCCAAUAUAUUUAUUAUGGGUAUGCAUUUUACAGCGCUUUUUCAAAUAAGCGCUGUCAAAUGUGGAAAACAAACGCGCAUUACAUCUACAUGUUUUAUAGCGUUUUUUUAAAAGCGUUGUUGUAUCUUUUACAACGCGCAAAUCUACAGCGCUGUAAAAUGUCAUUUUUAGCGUAGUGUAAUAAAAGAAUAAAUAUUCCAAGUUUAGUUGAAGAUAGGGAAAAUGUAUUAUCUAAAUAGAAAUCGAAUAACUGAAUUGGGGACUAUUAUAAGUAGGCCCAAAAUAUUACAGAUUAUUCAAAUACCAAAACCAGUUAAAUUUUGUGAGCCUGAAAAACUAGAAGGAAAUGAUAUUGAUAAAUUAGAAAACCAAGUUAAAGAUUUAACCACAUAUCUAAUAAAAAUAGAAUAUGAACCAUUUAAAGAGAAAAAGAUAACCCUGAAUUAAAAAAUAAAUAAUAAAUAAAAAAUAAAAACUGAGGUAGUAGCCCAGGCUAAAUUUGUGUGAUAACUGUUUAUAUUAAUUAUUUUAUUUUAUUUUAAAUUGAAUUAAGUUAUCAACACAUUUUUUAAUAUGCUAUUUUUUAUUAAUUAAAAUUUAUAUAAGUCCCAUUAAAUUUUUAAAAACCUGUCUGAUUGGAUGGAAUCAAUAUUAAUUUUAAUUAAUAAAGUAUUAAAAAAUAUAAAUUAAAAAACGUGUUUUGAGCUAAAGUUGUUAGAGUUGAUCAUCAUUGGAAUUUUCUAAGAGGCAAGUUGCAUCUUCCAUGCUCUAAAUAACACGCGCCCAAAGCAGCCACAGAAUAUUCGUGCAAGAAAUUUCAAAUAUCUAUGCGGUCCCAUAUGUUAUUAUCUCCUUGCUCUCUAAGCAAAUAGACUAAGUGACUAACAUUGUACUUUCGUAACUUUUUUAAUAUUAAAUGACACUAUAAAUACUUGACUCCCUGAAUUCAAUUCACAACUCAAUCAUUUCAGUUUUGCACACUUUGAUAAACAGAAGAAACCCAUUUCAAUUCACUUCAAUUUUUGUUUCAUUGCACCUUGUGACUACAUAGAUAAAAUUAAAUCACUUAUUGAUGGCUUUGAUUUCAUCUUUCUUCAGUUGCUUUGGCUACUCUUCUAACUUAUCAUCUCAAGUUUCUGAUUAUGAUGAAAUAUCUCAAUCAAAAUCUUCAUCUUCAAAGAAACCAAAGAGUAAGGAAAUUUCAAAGGGAGCUCCAAUUUUAGUUUCUUAUUUUCCUUUUAACUAUUAUCCUUCACGCUUGUAGUCACACAGUGUUAAUCUGCAUCAACUUCUUACCAAAAGUGCAAUUGACAUUUAUUUAUUUAUUUGUUUAUUAUGGGGCAUUAUUUUUUUAAUUUGUUUUCUCUUGUUUCUAUAUAAAAAAAUCUUGUAAUUCAUAAAAAAUUAAUAUUGUAUCUCAUUUAUAGUGUACUAUAUUUAAAUUCAUCUGAAUUUCUAUUGAAAAGCAAAACAAUGUAUAGAAAACUUUAGCAAAUAAACAUGGACGCGGGAUUUAAUGGAAAAUAAUUACACUAAUGAGGCAGAACAAUGCACAAGCAUAAUUGGUGCAAGAAAUUUUCUUAUAAAACUAGUACUAUAUAUUUAUACCUAGGAUUGUUAAGUAGUUUGGUUGAUAAAAAAUUGAAUCAAGUAUAAUUGAAUUGACCAUUACAACAGGUUGAUAAAAUUGAACUGUUAAUUGUUUGUCUUGAGACUAACCAAACUAAUAAAAUCAAAAUAAACUAUUAUCUGAACUGAACCAAAAACUACUUUUAUUAAAACUUGAACUAUACUUCUUUGAACCGAACCCUCUUGCAAUGCUAUUAUUAAUUGAUAUUAGUAUUAUUUAAGAAGGUUUAAAAACACAAAAAAAAAAAAUCAAACUGUUAAAUCGAACCACAGAAAAAAAAAUAUCUAUACUAAGAUAUUUCACAAAUGAUACUAAACUGAUACAUUUAGAUUCAUUAUCCACCCGACGCACUUUUUGACAUCCCUAAUUAUACUCUUGUGUUAAGGAGUAACUCCUCAAGUAUAGCCAACAUCAAGUUAAAAAAAAAAAAAUAUUAAGUUAAAGCAACAACUAUAGAACCAUAAAAGUGUGUCGCCUGAAUAAAGAAGUGUUGCUUUAUUUCAACCAAACUCAUUACUUUAUUACUUUAUGUAAAUAGGUUUUUACCAUAUAGUAGCAUAGAAUUAUUUUGUUUUUAUCAUUGAGUUUGAUAUUUACAAACAGUGAUGAGUUUGGUUGAAAUUGAAGAAUUUGAAAAAGUUCCUUAUUGAUUAGUAUUAUAAAUGAAGAGAGAGGCAAAUGUUAUAUAUUCUUAUGUGAAAGUGUUGUGAGAUGUUUAAAUAUUUGCUUUAGAGAAAGUGUGUGUUUACUCAGAGGUAUGAUAAGUUUUGAGAGAAGUCUAUGAAUUUUGAUUGUUUUUUUAUUUUAUUUUUCUAUGUAUGUUUUUAUCAUAGAUCUAUAUAUAUGAAACUAUUUUUAGUCUUAUUUCUCUUAUUUCUCUUUCAGUUUGUUUAUUAUAUAUACUCAUUUUUGUGGAAGACUCUUGUUAUUUGUUGGAAUGUUGUUUGUUUGAUGCAAGUUAUUACCAAGAAUACUAAAAAGAUUUUAGUGUAUUUAUUAUUUUACAUAUUACAAGGCUUUAAUAUAUUAGGUCUGGUAGUUUUUUGCGUUAAAUUUGGGGUGCGUUGAUAUUUAUUUUAUAUAUAAGAUAAGAGAUAGUAUUAUUCUAGAGAUAGUAUUAAAUAAUAUAUUUUAAAUUCUAAACCGUCUGAAAAGUACAUUUUUAACAAAAAAAUUUGUAAUUUUAUUAAAAUAUUAUUAUUAAUUUUAAAAUAAAUCUUUUUUAAAAAAAAAAAAAAGACAUCGUCUCUUGGAUCUUAACAUAUAUUAAGAUAUAAGGUGAAUGUAAAGAACUAAUUAAUUCCUAUGUUCUAAGUAACUAAAUUAUUUCCAAAACUUAUUCCUUAAGUACUGAGGUUAGUACAUUGUAAUAUCUCAUUCUCUUUACUUCAGUUUGCAAACGAUAUCGUAAUAAUAUGUGACGAUGCAAGUAGUAAUUUGUGAGGGUUAAAAGUAAUCUUAUGCAGUUUCGAGCGGGUAUUGGGUCUUAAAGUAAAUAAUGCUAAAAGUGGUGUGGCGGGUUUGAAUCUGAGGAAUAAUCAAUUGGACGCAACAACGGAUUUUUUGUGUUGCCUGAUUGGCUUGUGCCCUUCAAAUUUCAAGAAUUAACCAUCAGUGCAAAUCAGCGGCGGACUUCAGCAUGGCGGCCGAUUGUGAAUAUGGUUAUAAGAAAAUGUUGUCUUCGUGGAAGGGUAGGCAUUUGUCUUUUGGUGGCAGAAUAACUAGGGGUGGGCAAAGUUCAAUUAUCAACUAUAACCGUUUGAAAAUUGAACCAAACUGAUUUUCAGUUUGAAAAAACAGAAUCGAACCGGUUUUCAGUUCAAAAAAUCGAACCGAACUGUUUUAUAAGCUGGUGAACUGAUUUAUUAUUUUGAACCAAACUGAACCGGUUUAACUUAGUUUUUUGUUCAUAUAGGCAAAAUUUUACAAAAUUACUCUUAAUUACUUCUAAAUAAACAAAUUCGGUUCAAAUUUUUUGAAAUAAAAACCGGUUCAAUUUAGUUCUAGUUUUAAAAAAUCAGUUCGAAAACAGUUAGAUUCUUAAUUUUUAUAAAUCAGUUCAGUUUAAAACCAGUUCGGUUCAGUUCGGCAGUUUGAUUCAGUUUUUGAUUUUUUUGAACACCCCUAAGAAUAACUCUUAAGAAUAACUCUAUAUUUUAUGUCCUUCUUUGGAGCGGGGUGCGAGAGUCAAAAAAGAAUUGUUGGAUUGGAUGAGAUAAAGUUUGUUUACCAAAGAAACUCAAUGGUUUAGGGAUAAAGAACAUUAAGGAGUUUAACAUCGCCCUUCUGACCAAUUAAAGAUGGAGAUUUCUAGUUGACACAUAAAGUAUUUGGUAUGAGUUGCUACAGUUCAGGUACAGUAACUUGUAUAAAGCAUCUUUAUGUCUGCAUAUUGCAAGAACAAACAAGUAUCAAUCAUUGUGGUGGAGAGAUUUGUUGUCUUUCAACUUGACAGCGAACUUUAAUGAAAACUGGUCGUCGAAAAUGUCAAAUUAAGGCUAGGGAAUGAUGAUCAAAUGAAGUUUUUGGAAAGAUUCAACUUUCGAAUGCGUGAACAUUGUUGCGUACUGUGUUUUAGGAGCUAUGAGAUGUGCCAGCAUAUGUUAUUUGGGUGUCAAUUUUAAAGUAGGAUAUAUAAUGGUAAAUGUCAUUGGCUAGGGUUCGUUUUAAUAGCAGCAUUCAUUUUCUACAAUAUAUGGGACUGAUGUAUCACAUUAAAUUUGUAGCAUGUAACUGGUUUUUAUCUUACAUAGCAUGGAAAACAUUUUACGACUUUGUUGAUUGGUGUGCAAAUCCAUUACUUUGUCUUGAAAAUUUGUAAUUGGGUGUGUGCUUUUAAUUAGACAGUUGUCAUUUUAAUGAUUUAUUUGUGUGAGGAUUCAACUUAUGCUGUAAGUAAUUGUUAUUACUAAUUUGAAAUUAGGUAAUUCUAGAACCACGUAGAAUUUCCAUGUAAGAAUCUAGAAGUGCUUUAAUUAUAGAAAAUUAUGAGAAAUAUCAAGAACUCGGUAAUAAUUAGGAAGCUUUUAGAAAUGUGUCUAGAGUUUUCUAUUUGUACCUAUAAAUACCUACUUGUACUUGACAUUAAGCAUCAAGCAAAAUUGUCAGUUUUCUAUUAGAAAUACCUUCUUUUCUCUAACAAAAUGGUAUUAGAGCUUGGUUGUGAGAGUUGAGAAAUGGCGACUCGUGAUUACACUACUUUCCAUUUUCCUCUUCUAAAGAAAGAGAAUUAUGAAAAAUGGUGCCUUCGCAUGAAAGCAUUGCUUGGCUCUCAAGAUGUAUGGGAGAUUGUUGAAAAAGGCUAUGAUGAGCCACAAGAUGAAGAGGGAUUGUCUCAAGUUGCGAAGGAGGCUUUGGCAAAAACAAGGAAGAAGGAUCAACAAGCUCUUACUCUCAUUCAUCAAUGUUUGGAUGAUUCUAUGUUUGAGAAGGUUGUCGAUGCUACAAAUUCAAUGGAAGCUUGGAAUAUUUUGGAAAAAUCACUCCAAGGCAUUGACAAGGUGAAGAAGAUAAGACUUCAAUCUCUAAGAGGAGAUUUCGAAGCUUUGAAUAUAAAGGAUUCCGAAUCAAUUUCAGAUUAUUGCUCAAGGAAGAAGACAAUUGUUAAUCAAAUGAAGAGAUAUGGAGACAAGAUAAAAGAUAUUCGUGUAGCGGAGAAAACUAUUCGUUCCUUGACUCCUAAGUUUGAUGAUGUGGUAUGUGUUAUUGAGAAAUCGAAAGAUCUUGACUCAAUGUCCAUUGAGGAAUUAGAAGGUUCAUUGCAAGCUCAAUAAGAAAGAAUGACGAAAAGGCAACGGGAGCCAUUAGAGCAAGUUCUCAAGAUCAAAGCUUCCCUGAAGGAUGACAGAGGAUUCAAUAGUCAAAACGAACAUGGACGUGAACAAGGAAGAGGACGAGGACGUGGUCGUUGCCAAGGAGGAAGAGGAAGAGGUUUCAAUCAUGAAUCAAACUACGAAGAAAGAAGUCACUCAUCACCAAGAAUUCGUGGAAGAGGAACAGGUUAUGGCUAUAAUCAAAGUGAAAGGAGGUAUGACAAAUCUAAAGUUGAAUGUUAUAACUGUCAUGAGUUUAGCCAUUUUUCUUGGGAAUGUCGUAAUGCUCCUAAUCAAGAGGAAGAAACGGCUAAUCUUAUUGACGAAGAUGAAGAGUCAACUUUGUUGCUAACACUCAAGGAAGAAGAGAGAGAUGCUAAUAGUUCAUGGUACUUGGACAAUGGUGCAAGUAACCAUAUGUGUGGAUGUAAAGAGAAAUUUGUGGAGCUUAAUGAAAAGAUGAAUGGAAAUGUUUCCUUUGGAGAUUCAUCAAAAGUGAAAAUUGAAGGGAAAGGUACGAUUCUAAUCUCUUCUAAAGAUGGGAGCCAUAAGUUGAUUAGUGAUGUAUACUAUGUGCCUAAAUUAAAGAGUAAUAUUUUGAGUUUGGGUCAAUUUCUUGAAAAAGGAUAUGAAAUUCUCAUGAAAAAUAAACAUCUUUGGCUUAGAGAUCAAAAUAAUAAUUUAAUUGCUAAAGUUCUUAUGUCGAAAAAUAAAAUGUUUAUCUUGAACCUAAGAACUAUUGAAGCAAAAUGUUUGAAGAUGAGUGUCCAAGAUGAAGCAUGGCGUUGGCAUAUGAGGUAUGGCCACUUGAACUUUUGUGCACUUAAAAUUAUGGGAGCAAAGAGUAUGGUGAAAGGGAUGCCCUCAAUCAAUCAUCCAAAUCAAUUGUGUGAAGGUUGUCUUCUUGGCAAGCAAGCUAGAAAAAGUUUCCCUAAAGAAGCCACAUCAAGAGCAACUAAGCCGCUGCAACUUGCACUACUAGAAAUUUCGCCUAUAGUUACCGAUUUAGUAACCGAAUAUUUUCAGUCACACUGGCGACCGAAAUAGAGACUGUAAUUUUGAACUUAUGAACUAAAUAUUUUUUUGUCACUAUAUCGGUCGCUAAUGAAAUUUAGAGACUGAAAUAACAACUAAAUUUUAGCGACCAAACAUUUAGUCGCUAAUUAUCACCAAUAUAAACUUUGCCUUCUAUACUAGCGACCGAAAUAGAGACUGAAAUUUUAAACCUUAAAACUAAAUAUUAUUCCGUCACUAAAUUUGUCACUAAUAAAAAGUAGAGAUUAAAAUAGCAACUAAAUUUUAGCGACCAAAAGUUCAGUCGCUAACUAUUUUUUAAUUACAUAAUUUAAUUUUCUUUAUUAAUAAAAAAAAAAAAGAAAAAUAUGAAAUAGUUUUUGCAGAAUUAAUUUUUUUUAGAAAAUGUGAAAUAUUUAAUAAUUAAUUAGAAAAAAAAAAGAAAUAAUAAAAAAAGAAAUAAAAAAACAAAAUUAUGUAGUGAUGCAUUUGAAUAUUCUGUCGAUUUUUUUUUCUUUUUCAGUUUACUCAAAUAAACCCUAAAACCCCAUUUCCCUCGACCUUAAGUAAUCGACUCCCAGCCUACUUGGUUCAAGCAGUUAAGCCAAAGCAACACUUAUUCAUUACCGGACUCAAUUCUUUUGUUCACUUCUCUUUCUUUUCUUUCACUAUUCCCACCAAGCCUUGGGUUCUCUUGAUGCUUUCAAUCAAUUUUUCUACAAACAAAAAAAAUCGGUUCCGUUUUCUCUCUCAACCCAUCACAAAUCCUAAAACCAUCUUUUGUUGCUAAUCCCCUCUCAAAUCAACCUCCGCAACUACGACGUGAAGCCAACCGAGUCUCUUAAACUACAAAUGUGGCGUGAAGCGCUCAUUGUUUGUUGUCUCGUCGGCUAUCGUGAACCAAAAGGUAAGGAAUUUAUAUUAUAAUUUUCUAAUUAUGCUUCACUAUUGUUGUUUUUUUUUUCUCUGUGAUGUAAUCAUUUUGAAUUUAUUUAACUAAAGGGGUAAAGAAAUUCUGCAUAUAAGGUGUUUGAUAAUAUGCACUUUUUGAUAAUUUUAACUAAAGGGGGUAAUGUGUUACUAAAAUUUAUUGUUGCAGUUGGUAAUUAGUAAAUUACAUGUUUUCUUGGUUUAAUUAGUAAACUACAUGUUUUCUUGGCUUAAUUAGUAAACUUUGCAUGUUAAUCACUCCAUCAAUAUCCAAUUUGAGUUCUAAUGUUUGUGUUGGUUAUGUUUAUCUGCUUCUGUUUUUUUUUUUUUGUAAUUUUUAGUUGGUAUAUUAGAUCAAUAAUACUAAUCAUCUCUCAUUUCAUUUAAUAGUGAUUUAAUAGUGAAAACAAGAUUAUCCAUAGUGCAAGACUUAACUCAAUUAUACACCAUAGAAUUAACCUCAAAAUGCAUGUGUAAGUUUUUAUUAUAAGAGGAAAUCAGAUUAGGAUUAAACAGACAGUGAGAAAGAUUAAGGUGUGAAAAAAAUAACAAAAGAAGAAAACCAUCAAAUUUUAAAUCAGCUGAGUCCUUUAGUUCAGCAAUACAGCACAUUAAAAUCUUCCUUCAAAUUUAGUAAUAAUAGAACAAGCUGACUACAAUAACUUACUUUGAGCGUAUUGUUCUAAUUUUACAAAUCCAAAGCUGUUUUUCAUUUAAUUCAUUUUAAGAAAAUCUGAGAUUACUUUAUCUACAGAUAGACUAUCAGCCCUUUAAGCAAUUCCCAGUAAGCAUUUUUUAUACUACUAUCUAUCAAUAGCAUGGAUCACUUAUGCUCUAUUGGAACUCGAUACAUUAAUAAAUAAUUUAUAAAGUAUGAAUGCAGAAUCAUUGCAUGCCAUUACUGUCAGAUCAUGUUGCGUUCAUCUAAUCCAAAUUGCAGGUGCUUUGGAAGGUUAUUAUAUUUAUCAUUUGAUAUCACCUUAGCUUUUACACAAUAUAAUUAUGUUGUGUGCAUUUCAUUUUUGUUUUGCAAACUAAUUUUUGUAAUUUUGUUUUGCAAAUUUCAUUUUUAUUGUGCAAAUCAAUAUUAUGUUUACAAGUUUUUAAUGUUGAGUUUUUUUAUGUUGUUAGACGGAUUUGAAUGACAUUCCUCCUAGUCAUUCAGAUUUGUUUCUCCACACACAUAAACGUGGCAAGGAUAAAAUUUGGGUUGAUAAAAAAUCGGAAUAUGUUCAUGUAAGAGCUUUCAACUUUAAAAUGUAUAUUAUUUAUUUUUCUAUGUUGGUUUUUUUAUCUUCAUAUAAGAUCGAAAUAAAGUGUUUUAAAGUAUUAAUUAGCUUUAUAUUUAUGUUGACAGGAAAAAUUUAAAUGUAGGUUUGAAGAAUUGACCCAAGAAACAACUUCACAAGGAACUCCUCCACCAAAUGAAUUAGAUGUGUGGUGUGAGGUUGCUGGAAUAAAAAGAGGACGAAUAUAUGGUCUCAGAAUAGAAUCUACUGUAUUGUUAGGGAGAUCUAAUUAUCGUGGAUCAUGUUCUUCAUCAACAAAGUGGGUUCAAAGACAUGAAUUUGAAGAAAUGAGAAAUGAAAUAGAUCAACUUCGAGAGGAAUUGGCUAAUACAAAUAAAGCAGUUGAGCGCAACAACCACUUGAUAAAACAACUGAUGAAUAGCUUGAACUUUAAACUCAUGCCAUAUACUAGAGAUCAAAUUCAUGAAGAUGAGAUUAGUGAUAAUGAUGCUCGUGAUCAUGAUGGUGAAGAGUUAGAUGGAUAGUGAUAAGUUAAUCUGAGGAAACCGAUAUGUUGCAAUUUGUUAUGACUAAAUAUAUUAUGUUUAAACUAAAAUUUUAUUUGUAUUAUUUUGAGUACUUACAAAUAUUAGUUAAAUGUAUUUUGUUCUUUAAUUAUAUACAUUGAUAUGAUUAAUAUUUUCAAAUGAUUUUGGUGUUUGAAUUUUUUAGAUAUUGAAAACAAAUUAAAAAAUUAUUUUUAUUGUUCUUCUGAACAUUAAAGUAAUGUAUUUAAAAAAAACAGUAAUAUUUAGAGACGUAAUUGGUGACUAAAUAUUUAAUAAAAAUAAUAAUUACAUCACAAAUUUCGUCUCUGAAUCGGUCGCUAAUGACAUAAAAAAUUAAUUCAAAGUGGUUGCUAAAUCAGUCUCAAUAAUUGGUCACAAAAUUAGUCACAAAAUUCAAUCACAAAAUCGGUCACAAAAUUCGGUCACUAAAUCAGUAACUAAAUUCGGUCACUAAAUUCGGUCGCUGAUUUGGUCACAACAGCUAGCGACUAGCAGUUUACCAACUGAUUUAAAUUGGUCACUAAUUUGGUCGCUAUUGGAUUUAGUGACCGAUUUUUUCUAUUUAGUGAUCGAAAAAUUGGUCUCUAAAAGCGUUUUUUCUAGUAGUGUUGUGCAUACUGACUUGUGUGGACCAAUCAAUCCAUCUUAAUUUGGUAAGAGUAAAUAUUUCAUUCUCUUUAUUGAUGAUUUUAGUAGAAAAACUUGGAUUUAUUUCUUAAAACAAAAAUCAGAAGCUUUUGUUGCUUUCAAGAACUUCAAAGCUCUUGUAGAGAAGGAAAGCGAUCAUGAAAUCAAAGCUUUGAGAUCUGAUCGAGGAGGUGAAUUCACUUCGAAGGAGUUUAAUGAAUUUUGUGCAACUCAUGGAAUUCUUCGUCCAUUGACAGUUCCAAGAUCUCCGCAAUAGAAUGGAGUAGCUGAGAGAAAGAACAAAACUAUUUUGAACAUAGCACGAUGCAUGCUAAAAUCCAAAAGGAUGCCAAAGGAGUUUUGGUAUGAAGCAGUUUGUUGUGCGGUCUAUUUGUCAAAUCACUCUCCAACUUCAAAUGUCAAAGACCAAACCUCUCUAGAAGCAUGGAAUGGAAGGACGUCUAUUGUUAAUCACUUGCGUGUCUUUGGGAGCAUAGCAUAUGCACAUGUGCCACAACAAGAAAGAUCCAAACUAGAUGAUCGAAGCAUCAAACAUGUUUUUGUUGGCUAUGAUCCACAUUCUAAAUGUUACAAGUUAUUCAACCCAUGCAACAAUAAGGUAAUGGUGAGUCGUGAUGUUGAAUUUGAUUAAGAUGCUACAUGAAAUUGGGAGGAUCAAGAAGAAACAAACUAUAAUUUCCUUCCAUAUUUUGAAGAAGAUCGAGAGGCCACAACACCAGUUCAAGAUGCAACUCCACCUUCUUCACCUCCUCCAUCACCUACUUCUCUAGAUGAAAGUUCAAGCGAGAUACCAAGUAAGAUGAAAGAUAUAGAAGACAUUUAUGAAAGGUCAACUAAAAUUACUCUUGACCUUGAAGAGUUGUAUUGUCUCUGGACGGAUAGCGAGCCAUUAAAUUAUGGAGAAUCAAUGAAAGAUAAAAGGUGGAGACAAGCCAUGGAUGAGGAGAUCAAAUCAAUUGUGAAGAACAACACUUGGGAAUUAGCAACUCUUCGAAAAGGCCAUGAAGCAAUUGGAGUCAAAUGGUUGUACAAGGCUAAAAAGAAUGCUAAUGGAGAGAUUGAAAAAUACAAAGCAACACUUGUUGCCAAAGGCUACAAACAAAAACAUGGAGUUGACUAUGAAGAAGUUUUUGCACCAGUUGGUCGCAUGGAUACUAUUUGUUUGCUAAUCUCUUUAGCAGCUCAAAAUAAGUGGAAAUUGUAUCAGCUUGAUGUAAAAUCGGCAUUUCUAAAUUGCUAUCCUGAAGAAGAGGUCUAUGGUGGGCAGCCAAUGAGGUACCUGAUUAAAAGACAAGAAGAUAAAGUUUUGAGAUUGAGGAGAGCGUUGUAUGGAUUAAAGCAAGCACCAAGAGCAUGGAAUAGUCGCAUCAACAAAUACUUCCAAGACAAUGGGUUUGCUCGUUGUCUCAAUGAAUAUGCUCUUUAUGUCAAAGUUUGUGAUAAUGGAGAUAUUUUGAGUACUUGUCUCUAUGUGGAUGAUCUUAUAUUCACUAGGAACAAUUCAAGUUUGUUUGAAGAGUUCAAAAAGACCAUGGUGGUUGAGUUCGAGAUGACUGAUAUCGGGCUUAUGUCAUACUACUUAGGCCUAGAAGUAAAGCAAUUUGAAGAAGGUAUAUUUAUUUCUCAAUAAAACUAUGCAAAGGAAGUUUUAAAGAAAUUUAAAAUGUUUGAUUGCAAUCCCGUGAACACACCAAUGAAGAGCGGAUUGAAGUUGUCAAAGUUUGAAGAUGGACAAAAGAAGGACCCUUUUUUUUUUCAAAAGUCUUGUUGGAAACCUAAGAUACUUAACAUGUACAAGACUUGACAUUCUAUAUGUGAUUUGAGUAGUGAGUCAUUUCAUGGAAGCUCCUACUACUAAACACAUGAAAGUCACUAAGAGGAUACUUCGCUACCUUAAAGGUACACUUAAUUAUGGACUAUUUUACUAUUUUUUUAAUGAUUUUAAAUUUUUUGGAUUUUUUAUAGCGACUUUGUGGGAGAUAUUGAUGAUAGAAAGAGUACUAGUAGCUUUAUAUUUUUCAUGGGAGACUGUGCUUUUUCGUGGAGCUCAAAGAAACAACCUAUUGUCACACUUUCAACAUGUGAGUCAGAGUAUGUAGCAGCAACAUCUUGCACUUGUCAUGCCAUUUGGCUAAGGAGAUUAUUGAAGGAACUUCAUAUGCCACAAAAGGAAGCUACUGAUAUUUAUAUAGACAACAAAUCUGCACAAGCACUUGCAAAGAAUCCAAUGUUUCAUGAUCGUAGCAAGCACAUAGACACAAGGUACCAUUUCUUUAGAGAAUACAUUGUCAAGAAAGAUGUUGAGCUUAAGUAUGUGAAGACUCAAGAUCAAGUUGUAGAUAUUUUCACAAAGCCGUGAAAAUUUGAAGACUUUCAAAGGCUAAGAGCAAGACUUGGAAUGAGGAAGAAAAUUUCAAAUUAAGGGGGAACAAUGUUAUUACUAAUUUGAAAUUAGAUAAUUCUAGAAACAUGUAGAAUUUCCAUGUAAGAAUCUACAAGUGCUUUAAUUAUAGAAAAUUAUGGGAAGUAUCUAGUGUAAGACAUAUGCCUCCUUGAUCAUGAUUUUGAUAUAAUCUCCAAACAUACAAUGUAUAUGCAUUAUUUGAUUGAUCUAAUGAUUUGAAUUGAGAAACAUUUCAAGCAAAUAAACAAACACUACACACUUGGACAAAACUUGGAACUCAAGCAAUCAAGCACAAAUGGAUGAGGUCCUACAAGGCUUGAAGACUGAUGUACAAGAGUGUCUAAUGUUAAUAGGGUCAAUUAGGUAGACUUAAUCAUAAUGAGUUCUCAUAUAGUAUUUGCCAAUGAAAUCAUAAAACAAGUUUUAAUCAAUCAAGUAAUAAAUCAAUUGAUAAAUCAAUUGAGCAAUCGAUUGUCUGACUCACAGAAUAAAGGUUUCACUAAGUUAAUCGAUUGGGAAAUCGAUUACUUAAAAGUUUUAUCAAAACUUGUGUUCUGUGUUUAAACAAAUCAAUUGGACAAUCGAUUUGCACAUCAAUUGAGUAAUCGAUUUUGUGAUUCACAGAACCAAGCUCAUACUAAGUCAAUCGAUUGGCAAAUCGAUUAUGAAAAUACUUUUUCAUCAGACAUAUGUUCUGUGAUCAACGAAAUCGAUUGGACAAUCAAUUGAAAUAAGUUUCUUAAGUUGCAAGAAAUGCAUUAAUCGAUUAGAUAAUCGAUUGAUAGAUGUUUCUUGAGCUGCAAGCUUUGCAUCAAUCGAUUAGGUAAUCGUUUGAAAGAAUGAACUGGUUAAUCAUUUAUCAGAAACAUAUUGCAUAAUCGAUUGGCACAUCGAUUUCAACUAAACAACUAAGCUACUGUAACAAGCCAAAUCGAUUGGCAAAUCGAUUGGAGUAAAACAUCUUAGUCCCUGUGAUCAGCCAAGUCGAUUGACAAAUCGAUUGGAGUAAAACAUCUUAGUCACUGUGACCCGCCAAGUCGAUUGACGAAUCGAUUGAAGUAAAAUGUCUGAGUUACAGGGAGCAUUUAUCCCAUUGCCAAAUUGAUUAUGUUAAUAAAUGAAUCGAAUGAGUAAUCGAUUGUUUUGAUCUCGUUGUUUGAACAAAACAAGUAUAAUCGAUUAGUCAAUCGAUUCUGAUACAAACUGAGUAUCAGUCUCUGAUAAUUGCAUUAAAAGGAUCGAUUAGGAAAUCGAUUAGUUCAUAUAUUUCAAGAUUCAAGAAAAACAUGACACGCGAUAAUCGAUUAGGUAAUCGAUUAAGUUGGUAUCAAACUUUAAUAAAAUCGAUUACGAAAUCGAUUUAUAUGAUGUCUUUCUGAAAAUAUAUAAAUUGAAUCAAUCACAAUUUUUUAAACAUCAAUCAUAACACUUUUUCAUAAACACAGAAAACUGAAAAAACACCUUGAGACAAAAAUUGUUACAACACACAAAUACUCAUUGGCUAAUACUUUUGUGUGAGAUCUUACAUUGUGAUUGAGUCAAUUUUCUUAGUCUUCUUUAAUUCUUUUUGAAAGAACAAUUUUUGUAAUUGAAGUUUUGGAAAUCCAAUAGUGGUACACUAGUGGUUAUCUUUUAGGAUGCUUGUGUUCAUCUAAAAGAAACCUCAGCUUGAUCUCGCUAGAGUUUGACGAGUAACUCUUGGGGAUAGGUUGGUAUUGUGAUAGAAGUGGUUAUGAGUUGGAUGGAUAGGCUGUGGCGCUGGAAAGUCUGUAAAAAUAUUCCUCAAAUCAUUCUAGUGAAAGGCUGAAAUCUAUUAUAGAUUUCAGGACUGGAUGUAGGUUAUCAAAGUGAUAGUCGAAUCAGUAUAAAAAUCUCCUGGUGCACUAUUUCCUCUCUCUCUUUACUUUUCAUAUUAAUCUUGCAUGUGAUUGUGAACUUUCGCUUUGAAUAAACUGUUUGAAUCUUUUACUGUUAAAAUAGGAAUUAAUAUUAAACAGGUUGAUUUUGAUAUUAAUUCACCACUUAGGAAAGAAUUAGAUAAUCUUGUUGAUAAUAUUGUUUAAAAUUUCCUAAGGAUAGAAGUGAUAUAACCAACAUCUAGAACUCGGUAUUAAUUAGGAAGCUCCUAGAAAUGUGUCUAGAGUUUUCUAUUUGUACCUAUAAAUAUAUACUUGUACUUGAUAUUAAGCAUCAAUCAAAAUUGAGAGUUUUCUAUUAGAAAUACCUUCCUUUCUCUAACAGUAGUUGCAUAAUGUCAUGUUAGUGAUUUGAUGGGGGUGAUUGGAAUAAACACAAAAAUACAUGAACAAGAAAUGCGUAAAGGAUAUAAAAUUCUCUCAACUUACAAGAAUCUGUGAGUAGCAACAAUAAAUAUAUGGCAACAAAUUAAUAUAAUAAGUACAAGUAAAGAACACCAAUAUUUUAACGUGGAAAAUUCUUCAAUGCAAGGGUAAAAAUCAAAGGUCGUCUAUAUCAAAGAAAUAACUCCACUAUAAUCAAAUAAAAGUACAAGAGAGUUUAAAAAUGAUCUACAAAUUGUGCCUACAACUAGACAAAAUAACAUAGCACUAAAGCUUACAAAUGAAAAAUAUCCCAAAAAGCAGCUAUUGUAUGAGCAUUGUUUCUCUCUCUCUACCAUUGAAAACGAAGACAUGUAUGUUGAGAAUCUGUUGUGCAAAAACCAACCCAAUUCAACUAUUAACAAAUGUGCAAUCAAUAUUUUUCUAAGGCUGAUUUGACAUAAUCGACAAUUGAAUUUACUCUUUAAAAUAGUCUCUCUCAACUCUAAGAAGACAGUGGAUUAUAUAAUUUUUGGACAUAAAUGCAAGUUUGCUAAAUGUUUGCGGCAGUUUGCAAUUUCCAUAGUUGAUUUUUUUUUUUUAUAAGAAUUGAAGUUUCCUCUUUACUCCUUUACUCUAGUUAAUAAAUUUUUUGUUUAUUGAAGAAAAAAAAUUUUCAUGUAGCAAAUAAGUUCGCGAAAAAGACAAACCAAACAACAUUGUAGUUUCGCAUAACUUAAUUAGCACGUUUCUAAAGCAGCCACAGGAGUAUACACAUUUACGAAUCUCUUUUUGACAAAUACUGGACGAAUUUUCAAUUAGCUAUAUGACGCGUGGUCCCAUAUAUCAUGCUCUCCUUGCUCGGUAAGCAAAUAGACUAUUAUCGUUUCAUUGAUUCUUCCUAACUUUUUAUUUUAUAAAAAUAAAAAUCCUACUAUUUGUCAAACUUUGGUCAAAAAGAAAUAAAUAAAUAAUAAAUCCUACCCAAUGAUAUGAUGACACUAUAAAUAGACCAAGUUAAUUACAUGACUUCAAUCUACAACACUACAACUAAAUCAUUUCAGCUUAGCACACUGCACAAAGAGAAACCCAGAUAUAGCUCUUCACACUUGCACAUAGUGCAAAUUAAAUCACUUAUUAUGGCCUUUAUGUCAGCGCUAUUUGAUUGCUUUGGCUCCUCUUCAAAUUUAUCAUCUCAAGAUUCUGAUUAUGAUGAAAUAUCUCAAUCAAAACCUUCAUCUUCAAUGAAAUCAAAGAGCAAGGAAAAAUCAAAGGGAGCUCCAAUUGUUGUUUCUUAUUUUCCAGUUAAUUAUUAUCCUUCACGCUUGUAGUUUACUUGGUAUUAAUCUGCAUAUGCUUUAGCAUGAGACCAAAAUUCCAAUUUAUUUCAAUCAUAUACAAGAUACAAGACGACAUUUAUUUAUUUAUUUGUUUUUGUUUUUCCUUCAUUGAUUUUUUUUUUUAUUAUUGUAAGAAAAAUUAUAGACUUUAGUCAAUUGAGAAUUAUGACCAUCAUGAUAUUUGUUAAAUUUAAUUUAUGUUUAGUUGUGAAUUAGUUAGAUUAAUUUCAAGUUAGUUAGAUUAGUUGCUAGUUGGUUUUAAUAGUCAUUUUGAUAUUUAUAUAUAAAUAGUAUCUCAUACGUAUUGUAAUAAACAAAUUUUUUUAUUAUUUAAUAUAUUAUUCUUUAUUUUGUAAUAU
rnacentral:lncRNA from 1 species